UUUUUUUUUGGUUAAACAUCAAUGAAUCUUUUAAAUUCAUGCAAAAUUUUGUGAUGAAAUGACAUUUGUGGAAGCCUAUGCAACAAAAACAAAAUUGGUGCUCCAAAACGCUUUCAACAAAAGUCUUUUCGGAACAUCAAUUUUGCUUAUUGGCACAGACCUUCAUGGAUGGCAUUUCAUCGUGGAAAUUUGCAUGUAGUUGAAACAUUCAUCUAUGGUUAUCAAAAAAAAUAUUUUGUCCUUUUUGUAAUUUUUUAUUUUACUGUUCAUCGGAAAGCAUAUGAAGUCGGGUUCAAAAGCUCCAUGUCCUGGAAUACAUCAAAUAUCAAGUGAACUACCCUCUAAGGACAUCUCUAACACUGACCAACAAAUCUGCUCCUGCAUCUGUCCACGGAUAGGGGGAACCAGUCCGCAGACAUGGAUGCGGGAGCCGGCUAUUCAACGACAUCCGCAUACAUUUCAAACGGCCUUUCAACUAACCAGGCGAAAUUCAUGCAAACCGACCAGAAUUCAUCACAGUUUGGAUAGAAAAUAACAUAGAUCAUCCACACGUAGCAUGCAAAUAAGUCUAGUACAACAAUAGUUCAAAUUCAGCGAGAUUAACCAGAUGUUUAACAAGUUUUUUCGUGAACGGAUCAUGUUGUCCAACACAUACUGCCCCUUCAGCUUCAUCCAAUUGUGUAUGUACCUAAAUGACCGUCCCUCUUUUAUGUGAUACAUCACAGCAACACAUAUGGACUACACAAUGUGUAGAGAAACAUCGAGUGAAAGGAAGAUUCAAUCGUCAAGUUGAGCAAGAAAAAGCAAACAUUACGAUCUCCUUCAGUGUCGCGCACAAUGGUCAUCUUGCCUUCAAUUGAGCAGUCGUGUCACAAAACUUGGUGACGGUGGUCUAGAUGGCGUACAAUCGAUAUGAUAACGACCUCAUAUUGCGUUGUUGGAUGAUGUGUAUGUCGUAGGGCGCAAUGCCUGUGUGGCGGCCGGAGAGGUAUAACAGCAGCAUCAGAGCAGAAGGGCGCGGAUGCAAAGCAAGGGGGAGAAGGGGCGAAUUGGAAUAAAAUAAGACCGGGAGGGGGAUUUAGAACACGUCUGGACAACGCAAUCCGAACGUAUGCGGGCUGUUUGAGGGUCGGUGUCGGAGGGGCCCUAAGGGUGCAACAACUUUAACUAAGCUAUGAGCCUCUCCAAUUGACUCCAUGUUCUCAUCAUCUCAUGUACCAUUGUAGUUUCACUAAAAAUCCUAGAGCAACAAUCAAUCUCCCAAAAAACAUUGAGUAAGAACAUAGCGCCUUUUUAUGUACAUUGGUGAUCAUCUCCAAGCAGUCUAAUGCCACUUCCACAGCCCCAACGUGCAAGUUUUGAGCAUUGGCUAAACCGGGGAAGACUUGUAUAGGAUCAGCACUUAGGUGAGAUCAAUGAUAUUAAAUUUUUUGAAGAUACAAAACAUGUCUAAAAAUUCUGAAUUUUUUUGGAGACACACAUUCAUGUGUGAUGUACAAGCACAAAAAGUUUCAGCUCCUAAUUCGAACUACACUUAGAGGAUAAAAAAGACAAAAUCAGAUGUGAAUAGUGUCAAGUACUAUGCACCCCAAAGCUGGCACUAUUCAUACUCGGAUUUGUCGUUUUCGAAUCUCUAACUGUAGUUUGAGUUUUUUGAGCUGAUUUUUUUUAAGUUGUAGACAUACCCCGCUGGUAUGUUGCACUUUUUUUCAGAAUUUUUUGCAUUGCCUAAAUAUGAAAUGUUUGGUUUGAUCUUACGAUUCACAUCUAAAGGGCUGAUCCUAUACUAGUCUUCCCCUGGCUAAACCUUCAUUGCAUGCAGUAGCUUCUAGACUAGCUGGAUCCGUCGGGCCUUAAAUCACUACAACCGUGCCCCCAGAUAAUUCCCAUGUUCGUCGCGACAUACUGUUCGGCUGCACCAUGUUUGCCAACUCUGGAUAAUCCCUCCAUCAACCUUAACUUACAGAGCCCCGGGCCAGGUUCAAUCCACUUCAUCUCAGUAACUAUUGGUCUCGGCUCGCUAGCUAGGCCGGCCCUUUACUGUAGUAGUGACGCGAGUGUUUUCUUUUUGUGUGAUUUUUAUCUCUUUUUUCACUAUUUGUGGUGGUUUUAUUUGUUUCAUUCUCGGCUUUCACUAUUUUUUUGUUUUUAUUCUGUAGCGAUCAGACCUCAAAAGGCCUCUGCUGCUGUGCAUCAGUGUCAUCCCUGGAUCAGUAAUGCUGACACGCACAGUACAAAUGGAGGAUUUAUAAUAGAGUAGCAAUCACACACUUAUUACAUCGAAUAUCUCCGAAGAGAUUAAGUAUGAAAACAUGGCUUAAGGCCAUCUAAUAACGAUAACAGCGGAAGACUUGGAAGAUAAGUGAGUCCAUCAACUCCAGCGGCAUCACUGAGUAUAAGACCACGACCUAAGGCACCUUACUCGUCGUCUGAAAAGUCUGCAACAUGAAACGUUGCAGCCCGAAAACGGGUCAGCACAUAGAAUAUGCUGGCAAUGUAACACAUAGAGAGCAAUGAACAAUAAUAAUGCUAGGCUAUAUGCAUAUUGUUGGAAAUCGUAGCAUAAUUUUAAAAUUUUCCUACGUUCACCCAGAUGCAUCUAUGGAGUAUACUAGCAACGAGGGGAAGGGAGUGCAUCUACAUACCCUUGUAGAUCGCGAGCGGAAGCGUUCCAAUGAACGUGGAUGACGGAGUCGUACUCGCCGUGAUCCAAAUCACCGAUGACCGAGUGCCGAACGGACGGCACCUCCGCGUUCAACACACGUACGGUGCAGCGACGUCUCCUCCUUCUUGAUCUAGCAAGGGGGAAGGAGGGGUUGAUGGAGAUCCAGCAGCACGACGGCGUGGUGGUGGAUGUAGCGGGUCUCCGCAGGGCUACGCCGAGCUUCUGCGAGAGAGAGAGGUGUUGCAGGGGAGGAGGGAGGCGCCCAAGGCUGUUGUGUGCUGCCCUCCCUCCCCCCUUUAUAUAGACCCUCUGGGGGGGGCGCCGGCCCCAAGAGAUGAGAUCUCAAGGGGCGGCGGCGGCCACAAGGGGGGAAGGGGUUGCCUUGCCCCCCAAGGCAAGGGGGAACUCCCCCUAGGGUUCCCAACCCUAGGCGCAUGGGGGGAGGCCCAAGGGGGGCGCCCCAGCCCACUAGGGGCUGGUUCCCUUCCACUUUCAGCCCACGGGGCCCUCCGGGACAGGUGGCCCCACCCGGUGGACCCCGGGACCCUUCCGGUGGUCCCGGUACAAUACCGAUAACCCCCGAAACUUUCCCGGUGGCCGAAACUGGACUUCUUAUAUAUAAUUCUUCACCUCCGGACCAUUCCGGAACCUCUCGUGAUGUCCGGGAUCUCAUCCGGGACUCCGAACAACUUUCGGGUUUCCGCAUACAUAUAUCUCUACAACCCUAGCGUCACCGGACCUUAAGUGUGUAGACCCUACGGGUUCGGGAGACAUGCAGACAUGACCGAGACGCCUCUCCGUUCAAUAACCAACAGCGGGAUCUGGAUACCCAUGUUGGCUCCCACAUGUUCCACGAUGAUCUCAUCGGAUGAACCACGGUGUCGAGGAUUCAAUCAAUCCCGUAUACAAUUCCCUUUGUCAAUCGGUAUGUUACUUGCCCGAGAUUCGAUCGUCGGUAUCCCAAUACCUUGUUCAAUCUCGUUACCGGCAAGUCUCUUUACUCGUACCGCAAUGCAUGAUCCCGUGACUAACGCCUUAGUCACAUUGAGCUCAUUAUGAUGAUGCAUUACCGAGUGGGCCCAGAGAUACCUCUCCGUCACACGGAGUGACAAAUCCCAGUCUCGAUCCGUGCCAACCCAACAGACACUUUCGGAGAUACCCGUAGUGCACCUUUAUAGUCACCCAGUUACGUUGUGACGUUUGGCACACCCAAAGCACUCCUACGGUAUCCGGGAGUUGCACGAUCUCAUGGUCUAAAGAAAAGAUACUUGACAUUGGAAAAGCUCUAGCAAACGAAACUACACGAUCUUUUAUGCUAUGCUUAGGAUUGGGUCUUGUCCAUCACAUCAUUCUCCUAAUGAUGUGAUCCCGUUAUCAAUGACAUCCAAUGUCCAUAGUCAGGAAACCAUGACUAUCUGUUGAUCAACGAGCUAGUCAACUAGAGGCUUACUAGGGACACUUUGUGGUCUAUGUAUUCACACAUGUAUUACGAUUUCCGGACAAUACAAUUAUAGCAUGAAUAAUAGACUAUUAUCAUGAACAAAUAAAUAUAAUAAUAACCAUUUAUUAUUGCCUCUAGGGCAUAUUUCCAACACAUAUAUGGCUGGUGGAAAGGCUCUAUGGUUACUGUUUUGCGAAAAGCCAAUUUUAUCCUACUGCAAAGGAAUAAAUUUUAUUUAACUAUCAUGGUGGUUGAAACAUUGAGAAGGUACCUCCAACUCAAUCCCAAUUAAGUAACAUCAUUAACCCAACAAAAUUAAUUAUAAGUAUCACAGUGAUGAGAUUCAAAUGAUAAUCCAGAUACUAGAUACUCAAGUUGUCCAUAACCGGGGACACGACUAAUCAUGAUCAGUUUGUACACUCUGCAGAGGUUUGUACACUUUUCCCCACAAGACUCGAUCGCCUCUGUUUUAUUUCUCGCACUGCAUGAUGUUUGAGAAACGGAUGACCGAGACACAGUCUUUCAGAAACAGUCACUCUUUACUCUGGAUGGACCGGUACACCUACUUUCCCCUACAUCUGCUAGUCCACCUCUUCAAGAGAUCCUGUAACCUACUCAGCUAUGCUAGAGCCCAUAAUAGCUUGUGGCUGCACACGGAAGUUUCUAGCAUGAAUAAUCUUAUGAUCCCUUUGAACCUGGGUGGCGGACCUUAUACAUACAGACAACACUGGGUUCUCCAGGUGCCUCAAUCCACCCAGAUGUGAGUUUUAGUUGCCACCUUAAGUUGAACCAUUAUUAAACAUCUCACAUAUGUCAUGAAUAUCACUCAAACCAAUCCACGUCUACGAGCAUAGCAUGGCAAUAUAAUAGCAACGUAGAAGUAACUCCCAAGGGUUUGAUAAAGUAAAACAGGUAAUAGGUACUACCUCAACUACUUCCCAGAUACCCACAAGUUUAAUUUGAUCCUAAUCAUGCAAUGUGUUUGGGGAAAAAGAUCUAAUGCAAUAAAACUGGGUAUGAACGGAAUAUGAUCAAAGUGUUACUUGCCUUGCUGAUGAUCCGCGAAAGCUAACGAGUCGAAGUAACAAGCGGCACACUCCGGGUACUCUAUCGCAAACAAACAAGCAUACAAUGAAAGAUCCAACCAGAAAUUUCAACUUAAGAACUCCGGUUUGCAAAAAGAAUCAACUCGAAAGAAGCAACGAAAAUCGAACGGCGAAAGAAAGAAACUUCGUUUGCUAAUCUGGAUCUAGGUCAAAUUUUACUGUAGCAAAAACUUUUUUGAGUAGAUUAAACGGAAAGAGAAUUUCGAGACGAAACUCUGGGCGCUUGAAUCGCCUGAUUCCGAUAAACGAGCGAGAAGUUAAACAGAUUCGAAGAUUUGAUCAGAAAUCGAAUCUGAGAAAAUCCGACGAAAAAGAAAAACGGACGAACGGUUAAAUAACGGAUGUUCGUUAACAGAGAAAAACCGACGAACGCGUUCGUUAAAACGAACGGUUCGGUGAACGCUCGCGAAAUAAGAAAACCGAAAAAAAACCGAUCUAGGUUUUUUUUUAAACGAAGGGGUUUUUUUACAGAAAACCGGUCAACGACGAAACGGGGCAGCGGCAGUACCUCGUCGGGGCUCCGGCGGGGCGGGNNNNNNNNNNNNNNNNNNNNNNNNNNNNNNNNNNNNNNNNNNNNNNNNNNNNNNNNNNNNNNNNNNNNNNNNNNNNNNNNNNNNNNNNNNNNNNNNNNNNNNNNNNNNNNNNNNNNNNNNNNNNNNNNNNNNNNNNNNNNNNNNNNNNNNNNNNNNNNNNNNNNNNNNNNNNNNNNNNNNNNNNNNNNNNNNNNNNNNNNNNNNNNNNNNNNNNNNNNNNNNNNNNNNNNNNNNNNNNNNNNNNNNNNNNNNNNNNNNNNNNNNNNNNNNNNNNNNNNNNNNNNNNNNNNNNNNNNNNNNNNNNNNNNNNNNNNNNNNNNNNNNNNNNNNNNNNNNNNNNNNNNNNNNNNNNNNNNNNNNNNNNNNNNNNNNNNNNNNNNNNNNNNNNNNNNNNNNNNNNNNNNNNNNNNNNNNNNNNNNNNNNNNNNNNNNNNNNNNNNNNNNNNNNNNNNNNNNNNNNNNNNNNNNNNNNNNNNNNNNNNNNNNNNNNNNNNNNNNNNNNNNNNNNNNNNNNNNNNNNNNNNCUUUGGCCCAGUCGGCGCGGGCGCGUUUUUUUAAAUAAGUUCCGCGGAAAAAAUUUGCGUAGAAAAAUAAAUAAAAAUCAGAAAAAUAUGAAAUAAAUUUUCCCCGUCUAGUUAGAAAAUCUAGAAUAGGGUGAACAUUUUUAAAAUCAAAAAUAAAUAUUUUGAAAAAAUGCAAUAUUUUUAUGCAAUAAAAAUUGCAAAUAAAAUCCAAAUAAAUCCCAAAUAUUGUUUUUAACAUUUUUCCUCCAGUAUUUCAAUUGUUUUGGAGAAGUCAUAUUUUCUCCUCUCGUUUAUUUAAAAUUGAAAUAUUUUUCCGGAGAGAAAAAUAAUUAAAACCAAAAUCCUCGUCUUAUUAUUUGAUGAAAAUCAAAUAUGAAAAUUCGAGAAAAUCCCCAACUCUCUCCGAGGGUCCUUGAGUUGCUUAGGAUUUAUCGAGGAUUUGUCAAAAUGCAACAAAACAUGAUAUGCAAAAGAUGAUCUAUGUAUAACAUUCCAAAUUGAAAAUUUGGGAUGUUACAUAUUCUCUUUUAUUUUAUUAUUUUCAACACGUUGGUCUUCUUUGUAUGCAUUAGAAACAUUUUUGUACACAUUUUACAUUUUAAAUACAUGAUUAACAUUUAAAAAAUAUAUGUUUGGAUGUUUACUUUUUUGUGCACAUUGAACACUUUUCAAUACACUUUUAAGAAUUUUCAAAUGCAUGAUUAAAAGUUUCUAAAUUUAUGUUUCGUCAUCGUUGAGUGCAUAUAUACAGUUUACUUGAUAUGAUGAGGUCUGGUGUUGCUCAUCAUGAUCAUAUCGGCUUGAUGCUAUAUUUUUUAGUUAAUAAAAGUAUACUUGUCAUACUGGAAUAUUUAUAUCGCGUUGCAACGCACGGGCGCACGGGCAUUGACCUAUAAGUAAAAAAAAAUGUUGUGGGCUCUUUCUGUCUCGGAUGCAAGCUCAUCUCACAGCUAAAACAAUUUCAACCCCAAACAGCAGCUUCAGCAAAACCGCUAUCACAUAAUCUAAAAAAAAAAGAAGCAAAACCGCUAUCACAGAUCAUACAUCUAGAACCACAGAUUUUUAGCGCGGAACAAAGAUUGUAACAAAGCAACGAGCUAAUAUUGUGUAGAGAAAAUAUGAAGAAAGUAGUGACAUCAACAAACACAUUAGGCUAUUGAAGUAGGUUACAUGCAUCUAGCCAGCCCAAAACAAAAACACAAAUGUUUGAAUGUGCUGAUCCGCCCCCACGGUAUGCACGUCAUACAGCACAUGCUCACCAGAUAACUCACAUAGCAUACGGAGUAUUAUUACGAAAUCCAUCCCGGUACUGGGGCUAGGCAUAAUCCGGCACGAGAAAACCGCGUGAAAUCCGCGGCACCACAAAUGCGAUGCGACGUCUUAACAAGCUAGAAGUCGAAUGGGGAUGUUUACCCACCAUGUGUUACUUCUUCUGCUGCUUCUUCCCCGGCUUCAGCUUUAUGACCUCGUCGAUGUACAGUAUGCCCUUCCCCUUGUACACUUCUGGAGGCUUACUGCAUCGGACAGCUCCAGCGAAAUGGUGCACUCUAUGCUUGUCAAUGCCAGUACAGCAUAUUAUGUUGGGCUUGAAGCAGAAGACGCGGACGGCAGGUGGAGCCGUGAACUGCACCUCAUGGCUGUAGCCUAGUUUCAAAAACAACUCGCGGCCUUCACGCUCUGUCCUGGCUUUGAAGCCAACUCCAACAAGCUUCAGGAACCGAAAGAACUUGGCUUCCAUUGCGAGAUGAGAAGUCCGUCCGAGGAUGAAAUAUUUGUUUCCGACUUUACUUUUGACAAAACAAGGACAAAAGGUUCAUCAGAAAAUUGAGCACUAAUGUAAUGAAACAGGGGAGUACCAUCAUGCUGCAAGUAUUGAGAAUUCGAUAUAUACACAAGACCAUAGUUAAAUCGACUAUUUUCAGAGCAUUGCAAGAGAUUCGGUACAAUAUACACGAGUAUAUCCCGUAAUUUCAUCUCACAAAGAAUGAAAUGUAUGCUUCAAACUCUUACUGAAAUAAAUAUAGAAUGAAAACAGCAACUCUGAAUUCUGAAGUCGUACUCAUUUCCUCAACUAUCAAAGAUGGGAGCAACCACCAAAUAGAGUUCAUAACUGCCUAAUUAUAUUAUCUCUAACCAAAGGAGGAUAGAAGGUUCAUCAGAAAAUUGAGCGCUUACGUAAAAAAUAACGAUGAUCAUGCUGCAAGUACCGAGAAUUUGGUAUAUAAAUACGAGACCAUGCUUAAAUCGAUUAUUUUCAGAACAUCGCAAUAUAUUUGAUACAAUAUAUAGGGGUCUAUCUUGUAACGUCAUCUCAUAAAGGAUGAAAUGAAAUGAUUCAACAACUCUCAAUGAAAUAACUAAAGAAUGGGAACAGUAACUCUGAACUCUAUCAGUUCAUUCCUUUAUCUCAUCUUACAGAGGAUGAACCAAUUCAACAACUCUUACUGAAAUACUCCCUCCGUCCCAUAAUAUAAGAGCGUUUUUGACACUAGUGUAGUGUCAAAACACUCUUAUAUUAUGGGACGGAGGGAGUAACUAUGAAGGAAUGAAAGAACCAACUCUCAACUUUGAAGAACUACUUGAUUCCUCAACUAACAGAGAUGAGGGAAGGCACCAAUCAGUGUUCACGACGGCAUGAUUAUCUUAUCUCAAAACAGGGAAUAUAUAUACCAUUCCAGGCUAGAUACCAAGUGGCAAGCUAAAAUGCAUUGAUAUGGAUACGUAAAUUCACCAUUUUGGAAAAGCACCAAUGCGGAGAUAUGUUAUAUUUUUAAUUCACGAGAAAAAUGUAUAGAAGCUAGGAACAUAAGAUUACCUUCUUGUUUGCUCUACUGGAUGCCGAAGCAGCUCCAAGCCUCUGCAAUUGACAGUGUUGAUGCCCUGUUUGAACUCCAAGUUCCGAAGGGAUAGAGUUAGACUUUUAGUUACUGUAAAAUGAAUAUGGAGCAGCAAAUCAAAUCAUUAGUUAGCUGUACAUCCAUCAUGGCAUAACACGAAAGGUGGAACCUGAAGAUCAAUCAGCUAACAUGCAAAAGGAGAAACAAUCACUUUAAACGGUAAUAUUUUAGGUCUGGCUGUUAAAAUCAACAAAACAGAGUAACAGUACCACUAUAUAUAUUCCCAAUCAUAAACAAGAAUUGGAACAUCUACCAUGCCAACAAUACCACUAGUACUUAUGUGUUCACCAAUUUCCGCCAGUAUAACCAAGACAAAAGCUCCUGCUCUCUCAAAUUGCAGCUAAGCAUUGAUUUCAGGUCAAGACAGUGCAGCUAAAACAACUAUAUAUAUUUCUUUUCAUAUAUCGUCAGUCAUUGCAUGUUUCACUGCCAACAUGUUUAAACUAAAAUAUUUGUUCAUCUGAAAGAGAUUCAAUCUACAAUUUGUACCCAUUAGCCCCUACAAGCAUUAUCACAAACACCUGUCAAGCAAAAUCCUUUCACAUGUAAACUUGAACAUGCACUGGGAAUAAUUAUGCAGCAAGUACUCAUCAAGAAAUAAUUAUCAUUCUAUUCUCAGUUUCACACAGUAUCAAAUCUACAGAGAGUACUCAUCUAAUACAAAAAUCAGGGAAAAAAUGGAACAAAUAGAGGAUGCAAGAGGAAGGAGGGAGGGGGGGUGAGGGAAGAGGGGGGAAGGUGGGAAGGAAGGAGGAGGAAGGACGAAGGAAUGGUGGCUACCUGCCUAUGGAAUGGUCGCCGGCGUAGAUCCGGGCGGCGGCGUUGCUGAGCGGGAGCGGCUGCUCUAGAGAGGGAGGCGCUGCUCGUAAGACCCCGCUGUCCGCGCUCGGGAAGGACUCUGCUCGUUCGCUCGCUUGGGAGGCGCUCUCUUCGUUCGCUCGCUUGGGAACACAAGGACUUUUUUUUUUGGCGGGGUCACAAGGACUUUUUUGAGACAAAGAAAAUGGACCGAGUUCAAGGCCCAGUUUUCAUUAGAUCGUAUUCACAUCACGAUUUGUCGCCACUCAAAAAAAAAAAACAUCACGAUUUGUCUUUUUUAAUAUGCGUUUUGAAUUUGGGUAUAAAUUUUUAUUUCGAUGUAGACAUGUAUUGUAUUUUCAUCCUCAUAAUGUACUAUUUCUCCGCCUGAAAAAGCUUGUCCCUUAAAUGGAUGCAUCUAGCACUAAUGGGACAAGUUUUUUCGGACGGAGGGAGUAGAAUACAUGAUUGUAGUUUCUAACUGGGUAGACAUACNNNNNNNNNNNNNNNNNNNNNNNNNNNNNNNNNNNNNNNNNNNNNNNNNNNNNNNNNNNNNNNNNNNNNNNNNNNNNNNNNNNNNNNNNNNNNNNNNNNNNNNNNNNNNNNNNNNNNNNNNNNNNNNNNNNNNNNNNNNNNNNNNNNNNNNNNNNNNNNNNNNNNNNNNNNNNNNNNNNNNNNNNNNNNNNNNNNNNNNNNNNNNNNNNNNNNNNNNNNNNNNNNNNNNNNNNNNNNNNNNNNNNNNNNNNNNNNNNNNNNNNNNNNNCGUAUUUUGAUCUUUCAGUAUCCGUUUUGUCGGUUUCCAUUUAGUUUGUUCUUUCCAUUUUAUUUUUAAAAAACGUAAACAUUUUAUAAUGUUUGGAACUUUUUUGAAAUUUAAAAACUAGUUAAUUUUCUGAUUUGUUUUGGUUUCAUAAAUAUUUUCUAAAAUUCUGAACAUUUUUCAAAUACGGCACAUUUUAUGAAUUCACAAUUUUUUUCAAAAUUUGUGAACCUUUUUGAAAUUAUGAGUAUCUUUUGAAAAAUAUGUAUCCUUUUUUGUCAAUUUUCUAGUUCUUUUUCCUGUUUUCUUUCUUAAAAUGAAGUAUAUUUUUAAAUGUGGGGAACAUAUUUUGUGUGUGCGAACAAUUUUUGAAAUUUAAAACAUUCUAAAUUUGUGAAUAUUUUCUUGUUUAGUUUUUUAAAAAUUUGUGAACGUUUUGUUCAAAUUUGUGAAAAAUUAUAAAUUCAGGACAUUUUUUAAAUUUGUGAAUUUUUUGAUAUUUAUGAAUAUUUUUGGAUUCACGAAAUGUUUUGGAACCAAAAUCCUUUUUCCAGAUUCACGAACAUUUUUUGAAUUUUCGACUCUUUUUCUUAAAAUUCUUGAACAGUUUUCAAACGUACGAACAUAUUUCAAAGUUUAUGAAAAAAUUAAAACCUCAUUUUUUUAAUUUACCUACAUUUUUUGAAUUUUGUGAUUUCUUAUGAAUUCAUGAACUUUUUUCAAAUGCACAAACAUUUUUCCAAUUCACGAACAUUUUCUUAGUAGAAAAACAGACACAAAAUUAUGCUUAAAAAAAGCCCCCCAAAAAACACGGCAAACAUUACGGAGCGCAACAUGUACAUUUGUUGCUGGGCCGUCCUACUAGUGAUGACGCUAGGGAGGAGACGCGCGUUUGUUGAGUUUCCAGAGUGCAGGUCCCCGAGGAGGAGCUCACGGGAGCUCCUAUACGGCGCUUAAGCGCCCAUUCAGUCAACUGGCGCCUGCAGCAGCGUCUUACUGGGCCGGCCCACGAGCGCGUAACGCCAGGGAACAAAAAUUCCAAGAAAAAAGUUGCAACGCAGAGAAUUCGAACUCACACCUAUGCAUUCUGAACCAGCUCGGCUAACCACUAGAGCUCCCUAGUACCUGUGGUCAUUACUACCUCGGCAGUAAUUAAGGACAAUAUUGGUUGCGCGGUUUCAAAAAAAUGAGAGUUCACACUUCACAGAUUAAGAAAAAUUUGCGAUUUUUUUUCGAAAAAGAAAAGGCUCACGUAUUCAUAGAAGUUCACAAAUAAUGAAAAAGUUCACAGAUUUGAAAAAGUUCAAGAAAAUUGAAUAAAGUUCACUAAUUUGAGAAAAAAGUUCAUGAAUUUGAAAACAAUUUCAUCAAUGUUUUAAAAGAGUUCAUCAUAUUGAAAAAAAGUUCAUAGUUUUCAAAAAAAGUUCAUCGGAUUUGAAAACAAUUUCAUCAAUGUUUAAAAAGAGGUCAUCAUAUUGAAAAAAGUUCAUAGUUUUUGAAAAAAGUUCAUCGGAUUUGAAAAAAGUUCAUCAAAUUUGGAAAAAGUUCAUCGAUUUUGAAAAAUGUUCAUGGGUUUUGAAAAAAGUUCAUCAAAUUUGAAAAUAAGUUCAUCGAUUCUGAAAAAAGUUCAUCGAAUUUGUUAAAAACCGUGCACUGAAGAAAACAAAGAAAAAAGAAAAAACGUUCCAAAAAGAAAAAAGAAAAAGAACAAAAACAUAACAAAACCGUUCUGAAUAAAUAGGAAAAAGGAAUCGUUGUAAGAAGAGAACGGUGAAGAUGCAGUAUUUGAACAAUUAACACGAUGUACUGGAGUGGUUAGUGCAUGUGGCAAACGACCAUGGCGCCGGUUUCUGGAAACAACUGUAACCGGCGCCUGCAACGCUAAAUAGGAAAUGCCGGAGCUCACACAGGUAGGGCAAGGAGAAGCCACCGUUGUCAUAAUCCCUGUGGAUACCUUGAACAACGAUUGAAGCCUCAGGUUAAUCGUACUGCAUCCAUCUCCAUGCGAACUGGGCUAGGCCCAAGGCCGAGCGCCAGCCCAACGAUGACAUUAGAAGGGGUCACUCACUGCCCAACGAUGAAAUUGGAAGGUGUCAUUGACUGGAGUUCCUAUGUCUCGGUUCAUGCGAGACGUAUGGGACUUUAGCGGGAGCUCCUAUACAGCGACCUACGCGCUGGGAAACAGGGCAGCAUGCUCACCCCUCGCUCCCAUGUGCGACCUUGGGCCAGCCCGGGUGCGGGAUGGUGCUCCCACGUUUGUUGUUUUUUCGUUUCUUUUUUAUUUUUGUUUCAUUUUCUUUUUUUGCUUUUUUAAAAUUUGGGUUUGAAAAAAAUGAUUUCAUAAAAUGUUCACUAAUGCGAAACACUGAUCAAAUUUUUUCAAAAUCUUCACAAAUUCACAAAAAAUAUUCGCAAUUGCUAAAAACUGUUUUUCUAAAUUUUGAGGAAUGAUAUUAGGUGGACAAUGGUAUCCCUAGCACACCAGGGUUCAAGUCCUGGUGUUUAGUUGGAGGAAACGUUCCCGUCGUCUACGAGGCGCCUUUGGUGUCUUCGUCAACCACAAGAUGAUAUGCCAGCUCAGUCUCUCGGAGCUGCUCAUAGUGAUAGCGUGUGCGUGUGUGUUCAUAUGAAUGAGAGUAUGCGCGUAUAUAUAAGCGCCUACAAUUGUACUGUGUACAAGGAAAAAAGACUCUCGCGUGAAGUCGAUCGCAAAAUGGGCUCGCCGAGGUGCACGGGAGCCAUACGUUCGUUCUUUGUUUUUUCCAUGUUUCUUCUUUUCUUUUUUGUUGUAUUUGAUUUUUGUUUAUCCUUCCAACUAAAUAACGGGAUUAUUAAAAACACUUUACAUAAAAAUACUUGAAAAAACUAUUAUCCCAGCCUUAGAAAAAUGUGUGUUUAUAGAAAAUAUUUCUCAUGUAUACGAAAAAUGUUUUAAAAAUUACAAUGUGAGUGUAAAAAGUUGAUAAUGCAUUAAAAAAACUCAAUCAACAUUUAGAAAAUAUUAAACAAGUGUUUAAAAAUGUUAAAAAAUUUGAACAAGCAUUUGAAAAAUGUUUAAAAGUGUAUAGAAAAAAAUAUUGACCAUGUAUUAAAAAAUUGUUAAAAUCGCAUUUAAAAUUGUUAAUAAAGCAUUGAAAAAUGUUAAACAUGCGUAGAAAAAUUGUUGACCAUGUAUUCAUAAAUUUUAAUUUUGUAUUUGAAAAAUGUUGGUUAAGUAUAUGAAAAAUGUUAAAGGUGUAUAGAAAAAAGUUGAUCAUGUAUAAAAAAUUAAUAUUGUACCUGAAAUUAAUCAAGCAAUUAGAAAAAAAAUAAAUGCAUGUAAAAUUAUAUUCACCAUGUAUUUUUAAAAUAAACUUAUAUUUGAAAGAUGUUAAAUAUAUAUUAGAAAAAUGUAGAUAUAUAUAAUAAAAUAUACAUUGUGUAUGAAAAAAGUAGAGAUUAUAAAAUAAAUUUUUUAAAUGUAAUCAGGAAUUUGAAAAUAUAAAAGAUGUAUAUAAAUAUUUUUCUGAUGUGGGUGAAAAAUGUUGAAUGUGUACUGGAAAAAAGUUAACAUGUGUUGAAGAAAAAAACACGACGAAAAUUAACAAAAAAAAGAAAAAAAAGGAAAGCCAAUAAAAACCAAUAAGAAAAACAAAAAAUCAAAAUAAAUGAAAAUCCGAAGAAAGCACUGCGAAAAGAAUGAAACUGAGAAAGAAAUAAUGGAAAAAAACAAAGGAAGAAAGAAAAGCCCGAAAACAACGGAUACCGAUAAAGAAAGACAUAAAAAUGAAGAAAAAAAAUGGAUGAAAGGCAAGAAAGAAACGGAAACGAAAAAAAAUCAGACAAAACUAUGAAUAAAACAAAUAAAACCGAUAAAAACAAAGGGAAAACAAAAAAACUAGAGAAAACUAGAUAAGAAACAAAACAAAAAGAGGAAAGAAAAACAUAUACGAACCAGCAAAGCGAUCGACCGCCCGCGAGCGAGCUUCACGUGGCAGUGAUCGGAAAAAUGAAUAUAGAUGGGCCGGCCCAAUUGCUAUGCGGAGAUAAGAAGUCCUUCAGCGAGAGAAGCUACCAUCUUUUAUAAGCGAGAAUUUCUCAAAAAAAUAAAUUAUAAGUGAGAAAUAGCUCUCGCAGUCGUUAACACAUUGGUUGCACCAAAUGCCCUCGUGCAUCAGAUACAUUCAACCCCGGUGAAAUUUUCAAAGGGAGGACAGAAUUAGUGGGAAGGUUUUGUAAGUGGUAAGUCAUGCCCGGACCCUCUACAUGCCGAGCUGGCAGGGUGCAUGGAGGGCAUAGCAUUGGCCCUCCAAUGGACGGAGUUGCCGUUCAUCGUCGAGAGCGAUAGUCUGCAGGCAGUGCAGCUGAUCAAUGCCUCAGGUCAAGACCGCUCGCAGUACGCCAUGGUGGUCUCGGAGGUGAAGCGUCUUAUGAGUGAAAGGGCGUGUCGUGUUGUUCAUAUUUCUCGAGAGCAGAAUAAUGUAAACCAUAUGUUGGCUAACUUUAGGAGAACGGAAGACCGUACUGUGGUCUGGCUCAGCUAUGACCCUUCUUGGCUCUUGAGUAAUACAAAUCCCUUUUACCCCCGCAAAAAAAAAAAAGUGGUAACAGCUCGCAGGUCUAGGUUUUCUGCCGCCGUGGUUCAUCAUAUAUGGUUUGGUCAAGGGCACUAAGGAAAAUGAAGGUGCCAAAUGCAGAGAGAUUAAAAUAUGUGAUAUUUUGACGAUGCAAUUGAUCGAGGAUCUCUCCAUUGGAGGCGGGAAAGGAAUUAACCAUGCACCGCAUGGCAUCAGUAAGCCACCGGCUACCACUGGCGCAUCACCGCCAGACGGACUCCAAGACAAGGGAGUUCCCUAUGCACUCGUGGCUGCAGAAUGCCCCUCGCCCCCGAGGACACAGACCGGUCGAGACGUGUCAGCGCGCGGGCCAACUGGAGCAGCGUCAGGCGUCCAGGCGGCGGAGGCGCCGCUAGCGUCCCGGCGACGUGCCGGGCCCGGGCCGGCGGCGCGGCGAGCGCGGCACCUGGCAGCGGCAGGAGAGCCGCGCGCACGUGAAGCAGAUGACGGUUGUCCCGAUCGAUCGAUCGCCGUGCCAAACUGCGAAACGAGGCCAGCGCUCGACGACCACUUGUUGGCGCCACGGCGCCGUGGACGGGACACCUGGACCUCGGCCCUUUUUCCUGUUCGGCGUGACGGCGUCGGUGUCGUGCCUUGCCAUGGCCCAUGGCGUUCAGCCUUGGCGUAACGCUUUGUUCUCUGGAAUCCAACAGUGCAUGCAUGCUUAUCACAUGUUCCAGAUGGCGCCACACCUUAACUUUAUAGAAGGAGAGAAAUACAGCCAUACAACUACAUCUACCUCUCGCUGCGAACAAGGAGCGUAGCACAACUCCACACCCGACACAAACAAAGACAACCACACACGACUACACAACUACGACAUACAAGAGCCUACCCAAACCGAUAGCCUCGCCGCAUCUCGACCGACACCGGUGAUCACCGAAGAACAGCAACUCCAGCUUCCUUGAUAGAGCCAGCGACGACCGAACAUGGCGUCAGAGAAGAACGAUCCGGGCAGCGAUGCACGCCGGAAGAGCGCAACAUAGGGCCUCUUAUCUCCCAGCAUGAUGCUCCCAACAGAGAAACAACGUCAGAAGAUGCCGCCAUCGUGCCAAUCCUACGAAUCAAGGCUUUCGCCCCGGAGAUGCUUGCCGAUACAAGGUAACGUGGAAAAUGGCGCUACACUCGGCGACGCCUCCAGAAAGGGGAAUGACACCCACGGGUGCACAUAUCCACGCCUCCAAGAUUUCGGCCAGCCCCGAAAGUUGUCUCGCAUCACCAACACCGCAGCCACUUGCAGUCGGAGCCACAAAACACUGCCGAGGAAGCACGCCUCAAGCCACCACCUUCAACACACUUGGAACCGCAGCAACCACCAGGCGACGCGGGGACCAGAUCCGUCGCAAUGGCCUUCACCCGCACCUAGGGACUGCCACACCGGUGGAUCUGACCCGCACCAUCAACCACACUUCGACGCCAACUUCACCGAGGCAUCACCGCCGGCACCUCACACGUAGGUGGUCGGGCGCCCGCUGCUCGCCAGGGCCCUGCCUAGCCGAGCCUCGCAGCACCGCCGCCUCCAUGGCUGCACAUGCGCUGCCGCCUCCGACGACUUCAGUGCACCACCCACAUCCACUCUCCCGCUGCACCCCUCGUGCAAAUCAAGGGGACCGCCGUCGUGCAUCCCGUUGUGAACCUGCCACCCGCUGCACCCGACCGGGAGCCGCCCGACGCGCCAGAUCUGGCUCGAGUAGCCAUGGAUCCGUGCAAGGGAGGCCGACCGGCGGCCGACCCGACGCCGACCNNNNNNNNNNNNNNNNNNNNNNNNNNNNNNNNNNNNNNNNNNNNNNNNNNNNNNNNNNNNNNNNNNNNNNNNNNNNNNNNNNNNNNNNNNNNNNNNNNNNNNNNNNNNNNNNNNNNNNNNNNNNNNNNNNNNNNNNNNNNNNNNNNNNNNNNNNNNNNNNNNNNNNNNNNNNNNNNNNNNNNNNNNNNNNNNNNNNNNNNNNNNNNNNNNNNNNNNNNNNNNNNNNNNNNNNNNNNNNNNNNNNNNNNNNNNNNNNNNNNNNNNNNNNNNNNNNNNNNNNNNNNNNNNNNNNNNNNNNNNNNNNNNNNNNNNNNNNNNNNNNNNNNNNNNNNNNNNNNNNNNNNNNNNNNNNNNNNNNNNNNNNNNNNNNNNNNNNNNNNNNNNNNNNNNNNNNNNNNNNNNNNNNNNNNNNNNNNNNNNNNNNNNNNNNNNNNNNNNNNNNNNNNNNNNNNNNNNNNNNNNNNNNNNNNNNNNNNNNNNNNNNNNNNNNNNNNNNNNNNNUGUCCAAAGCGUAGUAGCACUACUAGUAGGAAGUACUGUGCUCCGCGGCAACUUUAUCACGUUUCUCUUGUCUGAACUUUUUCCGUGGUGCAGUGCAGCACAAACCUACGGUGUUAAUCCUCACACAGUGGCACGUAUGCUAGCGCAGUUGUGCAUUAUACUCGAGGAUUAGCAGACAGAAGCAACUGCACCCCGAUAGUUUCCAGUCUCCUGUUAGAUAGUUUAAGCACUGGGAACGGAUUAAUAAGUCGGCAGCCAUGUGAACCGGAAUGACCGAGACUUCUCGUGUGAUUCAGGGGGGCAGCAUUCAGUAGCACACUAGCAUAAAAUACGUAUGCCUCUUGAGCCGGAAGAAAGGGCAAAUUAAAGAUGCAACGAAGCCCCCCUCUAUAAAGUACGAUUACACCUGGAAUUGGUUACUUCAUAAGCUACAUAAAACCAAACCAUAUGACUACAUGAGUAAGCGUAACAACACAAGUAAUUGACCAAUCAAAUUGAUCAAUCCACAGCUAGCAGAUUGCCGUAUCCUACCUGCGAACUGACCAAGUGCCCCCAAUAGUUUGUGCCACCUGUUUGAAGUAAAAAGUAAAGAACGAGAGAGUUGAAUGAAAGAUAAUCCAUAAGUCUUUAUUGAUGAUAGAAGUGGGGUAUUUAUACCUAGGUGGAAGUACACAUGGUGCUUGGCGGUCAAGUAAACACAUAGUUACUUGAGACCCAAGGAAUUACAUAGUUGCCUUGAGAGCCAAGGAAGUACAUGGUUGCUUGAGAACCAAGCAAUCUAUCUAACAGUUAACUUAAUCCUAAUUAGCUUAAUUAAUAAGCAACUAUCCUAUUCUUAACACUCCCCCUUGUACAACGCCUCUUCUUUGGUAUAUCCAUCAUCUUGACAAAUUCUUUGAAUAAUCUUGAAUGUCUCCUCCAAAAAUCAUGUGGGAAAAAUAUGAGGAGAAUAGUGCAAUAUGUUGCUAAAACUCCUUUAAAUCCAGUGAGAAAAAUAUAUAAUAAGGAGAAAAUGAUGCGACAUAUAAUGAUUAUUGUCUCUUGAACUCAUAUAAGAAAAACCUUUGAAGAAGGAGAAAACCCAUCAGUGAGUUUAGAGAACAAUUAAUAUGUCUUGAGUACUUUCUUUAAAGAAAACCGAUAGGAAAAAUAGAAAGUAUGACGUAUGAUCUUUGGUAAGAUAUUGCCUCGUUAAAAACCAUUAUGAGAAACUUUGAGAUAAAACUCAUAAGGGAAAAGAGUGCGAUAUGAUAUGCCAUUGAAAACUCCUUUAAAACCCAGUGGGAAAAAUAUAAGGAGAAAGUGUAUGACAUAUACGGGCACUUGUGUUUAUAUUGUCUCGUUAAAAACCUUUAUGAGAAACCAUUAGGUAAAACUCAUGAAGGGAAAAAGAGUACAAUAUAUGCAAUCUUAGGAUUGUUAAUAGGUUAUAGAUUUAGGAAAUUACUCCCCCUGAACUUUGCAAACCUGGAGAAUGUGUAAUAAAAAAUCCAUUGAUAUGAUCAUGACAUUAUGAAUAAUCUGUAGGAUUUUCAAAGUAUGUUGUUUGCAUAUUGUUUCCUCACUUCCUAUAAUUCGUGAGGAUAAGUAAUUUUCGAGCAAUGUACUUUAUGAUAUUGCUCUUCAUAUAACCUGUAGUUUUUGAGUAACACAAGUGGUAGGGUCUUGAUAAAUCAAGUUAUGCGAUUCUGAUGAAUCUCAACCACAUGAUUUUGAGUGUGGAUAAUCAUUCUGUUAUGCCAUGCAUAUUUUGCAAUGCUUUUAGAUAAAGCAAUUAUGUCAGAACGAUAACUGGAAAUAGCCAUUAAAGCCAAUUUAGAUGACUUCCAUAUGAAGGCUAUUCCAGCAAAUCUAGUCAAUUAUAUGGCAUUGUUGGGAUCAAAGAAAGAGCCAAUAUCAUUAUAUCAUAUUAUGGCCAUAUCUUGUAUUUCCUGAUGGAAAUAUCCAAGAUUUAUUGUGAGCUUGAGAUAUAAGCUGAUAUUUCUUAUAUUGACCAUAUACCUUUUGUUGGGGGUUGCACUCUGGACAAAGAUAGCAAAUAUAGUGUCAGGCCUGACUUAGUUUGCAAUUAUAUGAGUACUUUGACAUUAGUGAGAUAUAAAACUUCAGGUCCUGAUAUCACUUCAUUAACACCCAUAGGUAUGAAUGGAUUUGUACCCUAUCAAGGGUAGUAUGACCAUAUUACAUGUCUUUUAUUGAUAUGAUAUAUCCACAUUGAACUUCUCGUAUAUGUUUUGGAUAUAUGUAGACUGAUAUAUGUACUCUUGAGAGAAUGCUCAAGUUGUAAACUUAAGCUAAAUUUGGUUGAAUCCAAAUUUCCCGUCUUGAGAUGAUUGUGUGGAUGUUUAGGUCUUGUAUAGACAUUGAUGAUGAGGUCAUCAAUAUACACUGAGGUGAUGAAAGGAAGUCAAAAUGAUUCCUUUAUUAAACAUGUAAAUAAUCAACAUUAAUCGAGUAGUCCUUUUUAAGAAGGAACUCAUUUAGUCGGUAGUACCAUAUGAUUUCCUACUAUUUCAAGUCAUGGAGCGACUUAUGAAGUUUUACACAAAACUUGUUGCGAUUUGCUUUUGGAUUCAGGAGUAUAAGCCCUUCAGGGACUUAAAAAAAUCCGAAAUGAGUGACUCAUAUGAGUAUGUAGCCACUUCAUCCAUGAACUGCAUGGAUAAUGUUAUUAUUUUUAUUGCCAAUGAUAUUUAGUAUCGAAACGUAAAUCCACCCAUACCAAGAGGGUAUGUUACAUCAUAAUUGAUGUCGAGUCUCUGCGUGAACCCAUUUGCUACAAGCCUCGCUUUCUCACCAACUCGUUGACUUUGUCUAUGAAUGUAAAGUUUUUAGUAUUCCAUAUGGAAGAUACUUAUGAGGAGUAGGUAUUACUGCGGUAAACACCACUCAUUUGUUGAGCGAGUGCUAUUUUUCAUUACUUGCUUCCUUUUAUGUGAACCAAUAUGAGUGUAAGAGGCACUCUACCAUGGAUUUUGAUUCUGGGCCCAAAAGGUUUUAGCAAAUUGAGAAGAAAUAUAUGUCGACAAAUGUAGUCUUUAGUUUAUAUGAUCCUGGUGGAAUCAUUGAAGUUUGUGGAUAAAAUAUUUAUUCCUUUUUAACUCCUUGUGAUUUCCUACAACAAAUGGAGUGAAGGUGUUUCGAUGUCCCGGCACCAAAACAUUUGUGCACAUUUAUGCCGGGCUUUGGAUGAUGAGCAUCCAGUGAGGUGUCUUUCAACUUGAUGUUGAAUUACAUUUACUGGUUGAGGAUUUGAUUUCCUCUGUUUCCGCGGAAGCAUAUGAGAAGUUAUAUCUCGUCUUGUCAGAUUUUCUCCCCUCUUGCUCUCAUUUGGGGGAGAAGAGUGGUUUAUCAGGUACCUCCACUCUUUUUGAUACUUUAUUGCAGGAAUAUAGAAUUUAGUGACACCUUGUCAUCAGUAAAUGUAUGUGGCAGAUUUGCAAUGUGUUACAAAUAUAUGAUUCUCUAAACUUCUAGUUCAGAUUCUUUGAGUACGUGGAUAUAAGGAUAGAAUGUCAAUAACAUUUCUAAUUUAUUUCUCGGCAUUCUUUGUGGUACUUAUCUCCCCCUAAUGCUGAAAAAUAUCCUUAUUGUUGAUGCAAUCAGCAUACGGGCUAUGAAUAAUUUUGAUUGACGGAUAAAUUGUUAUUCCUCACAUAGAUCCCUAAUUUUCGUGAGUGCCCAUUGAUGUACGCUGGAGUGGUGAUAUCGGUAUGUAACCGAAUUAUCGCAGAUACGAAAUACUUUGUUGAUUUCCACGUAGUAACUACAAGGGGAAAGUAGUAUGCUUGCAAUUGGUAUGAUUUAGAUUAUAAUUACGGUGUGUAAGGCCGUAUGUGUCCAGCAAGAGGCUGGUAAAUUUACAAUUCUUUAAAAGUGGUCAUGUAAUUCAUUUAACUCUCUUUGAUAAGAAAUUUAGGUAAACCAUUCUGGGUAUGUACAUAAAGUACUUAAUGCAAAAAAAUUUGCUCAUUGAAUGAGUUCAACAACAUUCUUCAUUCGAAUGGGUUUAUAGAUCCUGUUUUCAGGAGAAUUUGCUCUUACUUUGAUAAGUUGAGCAAUUUAUUUAGUAAGAUCAUGCAUGGUUGUGUGUGAGACACUUAAAAACAUUUUAUGAAUGUGUAUAUGAGUACCAUGAAGUAUCUAAAUUACCCCAGAUAAUGGUUAAGCAAUAUCUUUUGAAUGUUUUUAAGGAAGAAUAAGUGUCUUGCUUAGAAUUUUAAGGUGAGAGUGGCUUAAAACUUAUUUCCCCUAUGGCACAUGUGGUGCACAUAAAAUCUGAUGAUUUGGGAAAUUUGUAAUUUGAUAAGUUGUGACCAACAGGAUUGUCAAUAAUUUUCUAAUCAUCCCCAAACCAGGAUGGUUAAGGCUACCAAGUCAAAUAUUUAAUUUGUUAAGAUCUAGAAAAUUAUUGUGUAUGCAACAAUAUUGAGUAUGACUUGAGAGUUGUCUUUGUGAUCCUUUGAAAAUGAUAUAUUCCCUAUUAAGAGGUAAUUUUGUCUUUGGUUGUCUAUUAGCCUCCACUUUACUUCGUAUUCCUCAUGGUUCUAUUUUGUGGCCACUGUCUUGCAUAGUAUUCUUAGUACCAGCAAAUAUUUCAAAUAAUGGUAUAUCACCUGUUGGGUGAAUCUGAUGAUUUUAAGAAAUUCUAUGUUACUUGAUCAUGGAAAAUUGUAGUACCAUCAUAAGAGGAUGUAAAGUGUAUGAAGGGCAUAUGGAAAUAUUUGAUCACAAGAUCUCAACUUGAAGUUGAUUAAGUGAUAGAAUUGUGAGCUGCGAUAGACUUGAGGUCUUGAAAAACGAUGGGUAAUCAUUCGCGAUGUGCUCAAGGCACCAUGUUUAUAUUAAGGGAAAUACUCAAGGUGAAUAAAUAUUCAUCCAUUAUAUGUUUAGUUUGAGAACUAAGUGGAGUUCAUGACACAUAAAAUGCAUAUGAGCAUUGCAACUUUAGAGACACCACCAAAAACAUAGACAUUGCAUGUUUAACAUUGGUUAGUCACCAUGAAAGUAUAACCACAAUGUGAUUUGGACAUGGCAAAAGUGUUGAGACACUCAAUCAUUGCCAUAAAUUAGGGGAUCCAUCUUGAUGGAUGGACGACACUAUAAUUAUAAAUAGUGACAUAGGCUCCAUUGCCAUGUAUUUUACCAAUGUAAUAGAAGGUAAUCCCCAUGGUAUGCAAAUAUUUGCGUAAUUUUCUAUGAAAUAUUCAAGCAAAGUGAGGCUUGAAUUAGCACAAGAUUACCAUUUCGGCAUAUAGUGAUUGCUAAUGAAUAAUAUUUACUAUGAGAGUAAAUCAUUUUAGUGAACAACAACAAAUGCUUCUGAGGAGCAAAUUUUAUAAAUGUAGCUGAUGCUAUCGGGGUCUUAUAUGUAUACCACAAAUUAAAUAGAUAACACUUUAAAUAUAAUCACCAAAUGCGGUGUAGAUCUCGCAGUAAUAGAAAACAUAGUCUGACUUUUGUCAGUAGAUGUUCAUACCUCUAUUACCUUAUGUUAUGCUAAAUGUAUGAAAUCACUUUGAAGGUAAUCAUCUGUCAGAGUGACAUGAUGUAGACCUUGCAGUAAUAGUGGAUAGUCUGCAAAAUUUUGCAGUAGAUGCCAAUAUUACCUAAUGAUAUCUUGAUGAGGUAGUCAUAUCUAAUAUUAAUAUUCGGAAGAGCACGUUGAAGGUAGUCAUCUUGUUAAAGUGGCAAGACGUAGACCUCACAGUAUUGAUGGAUAAUCUGCAAAUUAUGCAGUAGAUACCACCAUCACCUUGUGAUUCACAAAUUUCUGGGUAGUGGCAUUAGUUUUGACACUAAUUCUUGUUUGAUUACGUCGACAUUUGCAAAAAGAAUGAUUUUUUAUUGCAAAGUAUAGCCAUUGUAUUAAAAUGACGUAACAUAGACAAUGCCGAGGCAAACAUAUGCCAAAAGUUCUAUGUUGUCUAUGUUAGUCAAUGCCAAAGGCAAUACCACACGGUGUGUAGUAGUGUGCAUAAAAUGCAUUGUGGCUAUAUAUCAUGAACUCCAUCUUGAGUACGACCGAUGCAGUCACAUAAAUUACAUUGUGAACAAUGCAUGAACAACUUAUAAAUUGUAUGUUUAUAAUUUUAUGCACAAUAUGGAAAGACCAGAGAGGGUCUAAGUCAUAUAAGAGUGAGCCUGAUGGCUACUAUACUAAUACUCCCUCUGUUCCUAAAUAUUUGUCUACGUAAAGAUUUCAACAAGUGACUACAUACGAAGCAAAGUGAGUGAAUCUACACUCUAAAAUAUGUCUAUAUACAUCCGUAUGUGGUAGUCCAUUUGUAAUCUUAAAAAGACAAAUAUUUAAGAGCGGAGGGAGCAGUUAUGAUGAGCCUGAUGGCCUAAAAAUGCAAAACAAUACAAUAUUGAUGCCAAACUGCAUAAAUAAUUAAGCCAAAGGUCAAUCGAUUUAUUUGUAUGCAGCUUUGUACAGGGGCCUCCACUGUCUUGAGAGAUCAGGAUGGAGAGGUGUGCCGGCGAGCCAGAGGACGUCGUCCUCGUGCAUGGGCCGUUGGCCGGCCUUCGCCCCGUCUUUUGCGGUCGCACGGUGGAGUACCGCAAUUGUCGGCGCUGCCGUCCCUCCAGGAUGUAGGCCGGGCGCCGCAUCAGUCACCGCCGUUCCUACUUCCUAGAUAGAAGGUCGAGCCAUGGAGGGAUGGAUGAGGAUCAUUGUGGGCGAUGGACCACGUCGAUCGCCAUGCACCGUCUUGCCGUGGGCAAUGCUUGGUCAAAACGGUUUUUCCAUUCCGUUGAAAUAAAGUGGAUGCUGAUUAUAUGAGUUCAUCCGUUGAAAUAAGUACAUGAUCAUAAUCAAUCCUAUCAAGGUAGUAUUUUAAUGAGUGCAUGCAAACUGGAAAAUGAUCAAUCCAAUCGAUUUUCCUUCAGUGUGUUGGCAAGUCGUGAUUAGGAGCAGGUGCCCGCUACAUGCUUCUUCCCGCUGAUGCCGCUCUCGUCGAUUCACAUCGCCGUAAUUUUUUAUUUCGAAUACUUGCUGAUUCAGGAAAAAUAUAAUUGGUCAAUGAAUCACUGAUGCUAAUCAUAAAUAGAAAAUCAAGUUGGCUUUCUCCCAAUGGAUUUCUUGUAUGCAUGCAUCAUAGAUGCAUGUUCGUCUUUUCCAUGGAUGGUGUGCUAGAGCCAGCCGAUGGCUAGGACCAGGCUGCGUGCCGACUGUGACCCGGGACAUGGCAGAGGGCCACGCCGGGGUUGUCUUGUUCGCCUCGGUUGCCGUGAGGACGAGUGCGUCGUGCUGAAGGCUGUACCGCCGCCGUAGUUGGUGCCGAGGACGCUGCCGUGCGGAGACCGACGCCAUGGGCUGCUGUUGUGCCGCCACCGGGUGUGCAAGUCCGGCGCCGCUGCGUCUGCUUGUCAGAGAUAAUUCGCCUCUGUUCUACUCUGUUUUAGCCUAUCGCUCUAAGAGCAACUCUAGCAGACCCCGCAUCCUCCCGAUACGCAAAACAUUUUUGCAGUUCGCGGAAAAACGUCUUUGCGGGUCGGCACGGACGGCCGCAGUUGCAGAACCCGCAUAAUGGACCGUAAAAAAGGAUAAUAUCCUUUUUACGGGUUGGGGUUGCGGCGUCUGAUCUGGCGCAUCUCCUCCCGGCCCGCAAAACUUAAAUUUGCAACUCAAUUUGAUCUAGCGUAUUGCAUUGCUUUGACAACAUUGAAUACAAAAAGCAUCACCAAAUCUUUGCUAGAAUAGCAAGACCAAAGAAAACAAGAACUACAAGAAUGCAUUUUAGAAGAUUUCCAAUUUCCAUAACUGCUCCCACUAGUUGGAUUAAUAUCUUCUCCAUGCAUUCGUUGUUGAUCUGUGGAUUCUUGAUUUUGCAUUCUUCUUUCUUCAUCUUUGGUUCGGUAGAAGUAGAUGUUGCUUCCCCUCUAGUUGCACAUGCAGCCGCAUCAUUGCCUUCGAUUGUACUAAGGAGUGCACUAACAUCUAUUAAAUUUCUUUCUAUCAACAAAUCAAUGUAUUGCCCUUCCCAAAACCAAAAUGAGCAUCCUUCGUCCUACACAAAAGAAUGAGCAAGCUCGAAGUGAGCCACCGCAAUUUAGCUAAAGAAUGAACUAUGAAACGAGCUACCGCAAGUGCACGUACCCCGUCGUUUUCGCAUUUGAAGAACACCCAUCCGGGGUGCUUCGGCGUGCUCGAAGUGAGCCACAACACUUUCCGUGCACAGUCGUCGCACUCUAUGAGCGGCAUCGGCAAGCCACAAAGAUGCUGCGCGAGCGCCGAGCCCGGUGGACGGCGACGGCGGGCGGACGAACUCGCACCUGCAUGCGGCGAUGCACCCUUGCCUGGGUUGCGGGAGAGGCUCUCCGACCACUCCAUCGCUUGGGGCAGCAACCGGCGGCCGGAAAAAGCCAAAUCCGGCGGCCCGCGAUGAAGUGUCGCAGAUCUGCAAAUCCGGCGGCCCGCCGACGCAGGGGGAGGGGGAGGCCUCGUGCGCGUGGCGGCCUUCUGGCGUGCUCCUGCCGGCUGCGGUCGCCGGAAUCUUGGGCGGCGGCCGGCGGCGGCGCGAGAGGGGAGAGGGGAGGUGGUUGGUGGGAGAAAGCGCGGGAUGAAAUGUCCCCCCACCAACCGCUUCCGCGAGGGGGAAACCCGCGUUUUCCCGGAUUGGGCUCGGGAUUUUGCCGCGUCCCCUAAAAUUUUUUGCGGGCCGGGGCGGAAUGCGGGGUCUGAUCGGGCGGGUUUUUCCGCCCCGGCCCGCAUUUUGGCGGUUAUUUUACGGGUCGGGACGGGAUGCGGGGUCUGCUAGAGUUGCUUUAAUGGAGAGCAAAGUGCAUGAUAACGUGUUUGAAGUAAAAAGUAAAGAACGAGAGAGUUGAAUAAAAGAUAAUCCAUAAGUCUUUAUUGAUGAUAGAAGUGGGGUAUUUAUACCCAGGCGGAAGUACACAUGGUGCUUGGCGGUCAAGUAAAUACAUAAUUAUUUGAGACCCAAGGAAUUACAUAGUUGCCUUGAGAGCCAAGGAAGUACAUGGUUGCUUGAGAACCAAGCAACCUAUCUAACAGUUAACUUAAUCCUAAUUAGCUUAAUUAAUAAGCAACUAUUUCACCUGGAAUUGGUUACUUCAUAAGCUACAUAAAACCAAACCAUAUGACUACAUGAGUAAGCGUAACAACACAAGUAAUUGACCAAUCAAAUUGAUCAAUCCACAGCUAGCAGCAGAUUGCCGUAUCCUACCUGCGAACUGAUCAAGUGCCCCCAAUAGUUUGUGCCACCCACAGCGGCCACCACAACUUACGUUUGGGAUGUUAUGACGACACAUGGCCACACUAAACAUGCUACUCUUGACUCGCAGAAGGUGCAUGCAUGCAUGGGACCUAAAGUAGAUUCAUCCAUUCCUUAGCUGAGCCACCUUUCUCCCGGCCAAGCGACCGACAAACCUCGAUCGUACGAUAGCUUCCAGGUUCAGCGGCAUAUUAUUUUGGUAUCACUAUAUCACAAGCCGGUUGAUCGAUCUGCUGCAGCUUUAGUAGUAGACGCGGAUGUGGAUGGAAAAGAAGGCGGCCGGGUCCAAUGUCCCCCGGACUGCAAACCAAAGCAACAUCCAUUGAGUACAAAACGCAACUGCAGCUAGAAUAUAUAGCACCAUGACCACAUAAAAGUCUAUGCACGGCGUGGUGGUGAUUGAUAGCUCGCUAGAUUGCUACCCUGCCGGUUUAUCGCGUUGCCGCUGUCGUGCGACAACAAACAAUUACUCCCUCCGUUUUUAAAUAUAUUUUUUUAGAGAUUUUGAAUGAACUACCACAUACAGAUAUAUAUAGACAUAUUUUAGAGUGUAGAUUCACUUAUUUUGCUCCGUACGUAGUCACUUGUUGAAAUCUCUAGAAAAACAAAUAUUUAGAAACGGAGGGAGUACAUGUCAUGGCGCUUCUUCGUGUCCUAGUAGUAUCAUAAUAUAAGGUACAUCUGUUGCUUUCGAGAGAAAUAUACUGCAUCCGUUCUCUCUGUGAAGGAACGGGUGAUGAAGUAUACAUCGUGACCUUGCGAGGCAGGCGUGAAAGCAAUGAGGCUGUUUGCGGUAAUGCUACACCCAUGUAAGGCUACGUAUGUGUUUUACGUAAUAUGCAAGGUGGACCAAUCAGAUUAGAGGAAGGAGGAUGAAGCGGCCCACCCUCUUGAAAAUUNNNNNNNNNNNNNNNNNNNNNNNNNNNNNNNNNNNNNNNNNNNNNNNNNNNNNNNNNNNNNNNNNNNNNNNNNNNNNNNNNNNNNNNNNNNNNNNNNNNNNNNNNNNNNNNNNNNNNNNNNNNNNNNNNNNNNNNNNNNNNNNNNNNNNNNNNNNNNNNNNNNNNNNNNNNNNNNNNNNNNNNNNNNNNNNNNNNNNNNNNNNNNNNNNNNNNNNNNNNNNNNNNNNNNNNNNNNNNNNNNNNNNNNNNNNNNNNNNNNNNNNNNNNNNNNNNNNNNNNNNNNNNNNNNNNNNNNNNNNNNNNNGGGGGUGAAGUUAAUUAGUUAGGAAGGUAGGAUUAUCGGGCUGUUUGUAAUGGGUAGUACUAUCAUAAGUUAGUAUCAUGCAUAUGAUACUACCUUCCUAAUGCAUAGUAUCAUACUCCCUCCUUUCUGGUUUAUAGGGCUCAAUUCAAAAAUCUCACCAACCAAGGUAGAUGAUGAGUGCUGGAAUAAUUUUUGUAAUUUACAAAAGAACCCAAUUAAUGCUCUUGUUUUCCUCAAAAAUUUAUGUUUAUCAAUGCAUUAAUUGCAAUGCAUGCAUGCAUAAAGUACAUCCAUUGGUCAAUUUUCUCUUAAUACUUGCAUGCAAUUAUUUAAUGCACCCUUGAAAUCUGAACUUGUGAUGGGGAACAACAAAAUUAAGCCUUAUAAAAUGAAAAAACUAAGAUUUUGAGAUAAAUGCAUAUGACACUCGGCUGUGCACGUCAGUGUGUCAGACAGAUGAAGCUGUGGAAUGUGUGCAUUUCUAGGCCAGCUGCUUCUCACAUGCAAUAAAAUCGAGUUGACACGUCGUGCAUCUGAUCUGGUCCGGCCGCAGGUUGGACGUCUAGGAGGGUUCAUGGAUACGUUUUAGUCCCAUGACUAAAAGUAGUGGGAUUAAAACUGGCUAGCCUCAUCCAUGCUUGGAUCUAAAUACUAAAGAGACUAAAAUUAAGUUAAUGAACAUUUAUUAUCCUUCAAACCCUCCAAUCCAGAACUCGCGUGUGUUAAAGGGAAAGAGUUAAAUGAGGAGAGAGAUGACUAAUCCACAUUUUAGUAGGGGUACCCCUGACUAAAAUUUUUUAGUCUCAAGGCUAGUUUUAGCCCCUCUUUAGUUAGGGGUGCUUGGAACUUUAACCUCUUAAAGAGACUAUUUUUAUUUAAACUAAAAUAAGCCCCUUGGAUCAAAAACCCUCUAGGAUAGGCUAGCAUCACAGACGGGCGUGGUCGCGCCUCGCUUGGCUGGCUGCCUUAUCUGUCUCCGCUUCCCGAGGCGAGGCCCAUUGUCGCAUUGCUCUCAACGACCCGGCCGCGUAUCAGGUUAUCUAUCGGUCAUGAGCGAGCAGCAAUGGAAAAUGAAGGUGCCAUACGCAGCAGACGGAAUGAAAACACGUGCAAUUCGACGAUGCAAUUGAUCCAUGGCGUCACAUGGCACCAACGACAACCGCUAAUAAACACCCCGGCUACCAGGUCGAUGGGUGCAUCAGAUCGACGGACUACUACUGUAGCUUGUACACGCGGACGCCUUAAACACGAGGGCGGAGGCGCCCACAGCGCGUCGGCGACGUGCCGGGCCAGCGGCGCGGCGGGAGCGGCACCUGGCUGUCGCAGGGGAGCCGCGAGCACGUGAAGCAGAUGACCAUUGUUCGUUUGUCCGCCGAGCCAAACUGCCAAAUCGAGGCCAGCGCUGGACAACCACCUGUUGGCAUCACGGCGUCGUGGCGUAGACACCUGGCCCUUCGCCGUUUCCUUCCCCGGCACCUUUGCGUCGGUCGGUGUCCUUCAUCUUUGGCAUUGCACUUUCUUCUCUCCAAUAGUGCAUGCAUGCUUUUCAUGUUCCAGAUGGCGCAUGUCUAAAGCCGUACUACUGUACUACACGGCUCCUCGUCGUGUGAUCUAUGGCGGACAACGCCAUCUUUUUAUUUUGCCGGCAAGUGUGCCGCAUGACCACGGGAGAUGGCGUGGUUGUUCCCACAUCUCUUUUUGUGUGCUGGUAGUGCCGCCCGUUGGCAAGUGCGCCGGUAUACACUGUGUAGUGUUUGUUUUAGGUUGUCAUGGCGUCGACAUGAACUCUGGUCGAUGGCAUGGCCACUGACAUGAUCUAUUGUCGUGUGCCUUUUUAGAAUUCAUACCGUUUUCUGCGCGAACGAGAAUUGGGUCGGCCGGCUGGGCGCACGACCGACCCAAACGCAGAAGGGGCGGACGAGCUGACCCAAACGGACAAAAAUUAAGCGGACAAAGCGCCAUCCAGCGCGGUGGAGUUGCUCUUAGGCCAACUUCGACCUUGGCCGCGUCCUUUGAAGCUAAACAGACAUAAAUCACGGUCCAACGUGUAGGAGCAAAUGGAUAAACGUUCGUUUUUUGUCUGUUUUUAUACAUUCCCGGUCUAAAUUUGGGCCGCGUUUGCGUCGAAACGGACAGCGCGCGAACGGGCGGUUGUCCUCCCCUGGCCCGCCCGUCAGGGACACAACACCCAUUUUCUCUUCCCCUACACCUCUCCCCGCCCUCCGCCCCCCGCCACAGCCGCCGCCACCCAUUUUUCCGACCGCCUCAUCGCUUUCUAACCCAGCCGCCCAAACCACGAUCAUCCCUCGCCAUAGCCGCCCCACGCCUGCGUUUCGGAGGAAUUUGUGUGCUACCAAAUGUCACAACCAUGACUAUGAGAUUAUGCAACUCCCGUUUACCGGAGGAACACUUUGUGUGCUACCAAAUAUCACAACGUAACUGGGUGAUUAUAAAGGUGCUCUACAGGUGUCUCCAAAGGUACUUGUUGAGUUGGCGUAUUUCGAGAUUAGGAUUUGUCACUCCGAUUGUCGGAGAGGUAUCUCUGGGCCCACUCGGUAAUACACAUCAUUAUAAGCCUUGCAAACAUUGUAACUAAUGAGUUAGUUGCGGGAUGAUGUAUUACGGAACGAGUAAAGGGACUUGCCGGUAAAGAGAUUGAACUAGGUAUUGAGAUACCGACGAUCGAACCUCGGGCAAUUAACAUACCGAUGACAAAGGGAACAACGUAUGUUGUUAUGCGGUUCGACCGAUAAAGAUCUUCGUAGAAUAUGUAGGAGCCAAUAUGGGCAUCCAGGUUCCGCUAUUGGUUAUUGACCAGAGAGAUGUCUCGGUCAUGUCUACAUAGUUCUCGAACCCGUAGGGUCCGCACGCUUAACGUUCGUUGACGAUAUAGUAUUUAUGAGUUAUGUAUGUUGGUAACCGAAUGUUGUUCGGAGUUCCGGAUAAGAUCACGGACAUGACGAGGAACUCUGGAAGGGUUCCGGAAUUCAUCGGAAGGGGUUCCGGAUGUUUCCCGAAAUGUUUGGGCACGAGAACACUUUAUUUGGGCCAAAGGGAAAAGCCCACGAGGUUUUUGGAAAGUGCAAAAGGAAGUUUUACGGAGACCAGAGGCUAGACGCCCUGGCGUCUAGGGGGUAGACGCCGGGAACCCUGGCGUCUAGCCCUGGAGUCCGAGAAGGACUCUUGCCUUUCGGGCAAAACCGACUUUGAGGAGGCUUUUACUCCAAGUUUCGACCCCAGGGCUCAAAAUAUAAAUAGAGGGGUAGGGCUAGCACCCAAGACGCAUCAAGAAACACCAAGCCGUGUGCCGGCAACCCCGUCCCCUCUAGUUUAUCCUCCGUCAUAGUUUUCGUAGUGCUUAGGCGAAGCCCUGCGGAGAUUGUUCUUCACCAACACCAUCACCACGCCGUCGUGCUGCCGGAACUCAUCUACUAUUUCGCCCGUCUUGCUGGAUCAAGAAGGCGAGGACGUCAUCGAGCUGAACGUGUGCUGAACUCGGAGGUGCCGUGCGUCCGUUACUUGGAUCAGUCGGAUCGUGAAGACGUACGACUACAUCAACCGCGUUGAUAAAACGCUUCCGCUUACGGUCUACGAGGGUAGACAACACUCUCCCCUCUCAUUGCUAUGCAUCAACCAUGAUCUUGCGUGUGCGUAGGAUUUUUUUUAAAAUUACUACGUUCCCCAGCAGUGGCAUCAGAGCCAGGUUUAUGCAUAGAUGUUAUAUGCACGAGUAGAACACAAGUGAGUUGUGGGCGAUACAAGUCAUACUGCUUACCAGCAUGUCAUACUUUGAUUCGGCGGUAUUGUUGGAUGAAGCGGUCCGGACCGACAUUACGCGUACGCUUACGCGAGACUGGUUCUACCGACGUGCUUUGCACACAGGUGGCUGGCGGGUGUCAGUUUUUCCAACUUUAGUAGAACCGAGUGUGACUAUGCCCGGUCUUUGAGAAGGUUAAAACAGCACUAACUUGAUGAACUAUCGUUGUGGUUUUGAUGCGUAGGUAAGAACGGUUCUUGCUCAGCCCGUAGCAGCCACGUAAAACUUGCAACAACAAAGUAGAGGACGUCUAACUUGUUUUUGCAGGGCAUGUUGUGAUGUGAUAUGGUCAAGACAUGAUGCUAUAUUUUAUUGUAUGAGAUGAUCAUGUUUUGUAACCGAGUUAUCGGCAACUGGCAGGAGCCAUAUGGUUGUCGCUUUAUUGUAUGCAAUGCAAUCGCCCUGUAAUUGCUUUACUUUAUCACUAAGGGGUAGCGAUAGUCGUAGAAGCAAUAGUUGGCGAGACGACAACGAUGCUACGAUGGAGAUCAAGGUGUCGCGCCGGUGACGAUGGUGAUCAUGAUGGUGCUUCGGAGAUGGAGAUCACAAGCACAAGAUGAUGAUGGCCAUAUCAUAUCACUUAUAUUGAUUGCAUGUGAUGUUUAUCUUUUAUGCAUCUUAUUUUGCUUAGAUCGACGGUAGCAUUAUAAGAUGAUCUCUCACUAAAUUUCAAGGUAUAAGUGUUCUUCCUGAGUAUGCACCGUUGCGAAAGUUCUUCGUGCUGAGACACCACGUGAUGAUCGGGUGUGAUAAGCUCUACGUUCAAAUACAACGGGUGCAAGACAGUUUUGCACACGCGGAAUACUCAUGUUAAACUUGACGAACCUAGCAUAUGCAGAUAUGGCCUCGGAACACUGAGACCGAAAGGUCGAGCGUGAAUCAUAUAGAAGAUAUGAUCAACAUAGUGAUGUUCACCAUUGAAAACUACUCCAUCUCAUGUGAUGAUCGGACAUGGUUUAGUUGAUAUGGAUCACGUGAUCACUUAGAUGAUUAGAGGGAUGUCUAUCUAAGUGGGAGUUCUUUAAUAAUUUGAUUAACUGAACUUUAAUUUAUCAUGAACUUAGUCCUGGUAGUAUUAGCAUAUCUAUGUUGUAGAUCAAUAGCUCGCGUUUAGCUCCCCUGUUUUAUUUUUGAUAUGUUCCUAGAGAAAACUAAGUUGAAAGAUGUUAGUAGCAAUGAUGCGGAUUGGAUCCGUGAUCUGAGGACUAUCCUCAUUGCUGCACAGAAGAAUUAUGUCCUUGAUGCAUUGCUAGGUGACAGACCGAUUGCAGGAGCAGAUGCAGACGUUAUGAAUGUUUGGCAAGCUCGAUAUGUUGACUACUUGAUAGUUUAGUGCACCAUGCUUUACGGCUUAGAAUCGGGGCUUCAAAGACGUUUUGAACGCCACGGAGCAUAUGAGAUGUUCCAAGAGUUGAAAUUAGUAUUUCAGACUCAUGCCGAUGUCGAAAGGUAUGAGAACUUUGCCAAGUACUUUGACUACAAGAUGGAGGAGAAUUGCUCAGCUAGUGAGCAUGUGCUCAGAAUGUCUGAGUAAUACAAUCACUUGAAUCAAGUGGGAGUUAAUCUUCCAGAUAUGAUAGUGAUUGACAGAGUUCUCUAGUCACUAUCACCAAGUUACUAGAACAUCGUGAUGAACUAUAAUAUGCAAGGGAUAACGGAAACGGCUCCCAAGCUCUUCGUGAUGCUGAAAUCGACGAAGGUAGAAAUCAAGAAAAGCAUCAAGUGUUGAUGGUUGACAAGACCACUAGUUUAAAAAAAGGCAAAGAGAAGAAGGGGAACUUCAAGAAGAACGGCAAGCAAGUUUCUGUUGAAGUGAAGAAACCCAAGUCUGGACCUAAGUCUGAGACUGAGUGCUUCUACUGCAAAGGGACUAGUCACUGGAAGUGGAACUGCCCUAGAUACUUAGCGGAUAAGAAGGAUGGCAAAAUGAACAAAGGUAUAUUUGAUAUACAUGUUAUUGAUGUGUACUUUACUAGUGUUUAUAGCAACCCUUCAGUAUUUGAUACUAGUUCAGUUGCUAAGAUUAGUAACUCGAAACGGGAGUUGCAGAAUGAACAGAGACUAGUUAAAGGUGAAGUGACGAUGUGUGUUGGAAGUGGUUCCAAGAUUGAUACGAUCAUCAUCGCACACUCCCUAUACUUUCAGGAUUAGUGUUGAACCUAAAUAAAUGUUAUUUGGUGUUUGCGUUAAGCAUGAAUAUGAUUUGAUCAUAUUUAUAGCAAUACGGUUAUUCAUUUAAAGUCGGAGAAUAAUUGUUGUUCUGUUUACAUGAAAAAAACCUUCAAUGGUCAUACACCCAAGGUGAAUAGUUUAUUGAAUCUCGAUCAUAGUGAUACACAUAUUCAUAAUAUUGAAGCCAAAAGAUGCAAAGUUAAUAAUGAUAGUGCAACUUGUUUGUGGCACUGCCGUUUAGGUCAUAUUGGUGUAAAGCGCGUGAAGAAAAUCCAUGCUGAUGGGCUUUUGGAAUCACUUGAUUAUGAAUUAGUUGAUGCUUGCGAACCAUGCCUCAUGGGCAAGAUGACUAACACUCCGUUCUCUGGAACAAUGGAGCGAGCAACAGACUUGUUGGAAAUAAUACAUACUGAUGUAUGCAGUCCGAUGAGUGUUGAGUCUCGCGGCAGGUACCGUUAUUUUCUGACCUUCACAGAUGAUUUGAGCAGAUAUGGGUAUAUCUACUUGAUGAAACAUAAAUCUAAAACAUUUGAAAAGUUCAAAUAAUUUCAGAGUGAAGUGGAAAAUCAUCGUAACAAGAAAAUAAAAGUUUAUACGAUUUGAUCGUGGAGGAGAAUAUUUGAGUUACGAGUUUGGUCUUCGUUUGAAACAAUGCGGAAUAGUUUCACAACUCACGCCACCUGGAACACCACAGCGUGAUGGUGUGUCCGAACAUCGUAACCGUACUUUAUUAGAUAUAGUGCAAUCUAUGAUGUCUCUUAUCGAUUUACCACUAUCGUUUUGGGGUUAUGCAUUAGAGAUAGCUGCAUUCACGUUAAAUAGGGCACCAUAUAAAUCCGUUGAGACGACACCAUAUGAACUGUUGUUUGGCAAGAAACCAAAGUUGUCGUUUCUUAAAAGUUUGGGGUUGCGAUGCUUAUGUGAAAAAAGUUUCAUCCUAAUAAGCUCAAACCCAAAUCGGAGAAAUGUGUCUUCAUAGGAUACCCAAAGGAGACAGUUGGGUACACCUCCUACCACAGAUCCGAAGGCAAGACAUUCAUUGCUAAGAAUGGAUCCUUUCUAGAGAAGGAGUUUCUCUUGAAAGAAGUGAGUGGGAGGAAAGUAGAACUUGAUGAGGUAACUGUACCUGCUCCCUUAUUGGAAAGUAGUUCAUCACAGAAAUCUGUUCCUGUGACUCCUACACCAAUUAGUGUGGAAGCUAAUGAUGAUGAUCAUGUAACUUCAGAUCAAGUUACUACCGAACCUCGUAGGUCAACCAGAGUGAGAUCCACACAAGACUGGUACGGUAAUCCUGUUCUGCAGGUCAUGUUACAUGACCAUGACGAACCUACGAACUAUGAGGAAGCGAUGAUGAGCCCAGAUUUCUCGAAAUGGCUUGAGGCCAUGAAAUCUGAGAUGGGAUCCAUGUAUGAGAACAAAGUGUGGACUUUGGUUGACUUGCCCGAUGAUCGGCAAGCCAUAGAAAAUAAAUGGAUCUUCAAGAGGAAGACGGACGCUCAUAGUAGUGUUACUAUCUACAAUAGACUUGUCGAAAAAGGUUUUUGACUACGAUGGGAUUUUCUCACUCGUAGCAAUGCUUAUGUCUGUCCGAAUCAUGUUAGCAAAUUGCCACAUUUUAUGAAAUCUGGCAAUGGAUGUCAAAACUACAUUCCUUAAUGGAUUUCUUAAAGAAGAGUUGUAUAUGAUGCAACCAGAAGGAUUUGUUGAUCCUAAAGGUGCUAACAAAAUGUGCAAGCUCCAGCGAUCCAUCUAUGGACUGGUGCAAGCAUCUCGGAGUUGGAAUAUACGCUUUGAUGAGUUGAUCAAAGCAUAUAGUUUUAUACAAACUUGCGGUGAAGCCUGUAUUUACAAGCAAGUGAGUGGGAGCACUACAGCAUUUCUGAUAAGUAUAUGUGAAUGACAUAUUGUUGAUCGGAAAUAAUGUAAAUUUUUUUCUGGAAAGCAUAAAGGAGUAUUUGAAAGGAGUUUUUUUUUAAAGAAAGACCUCGGUGAAGCUGCUUACAUAUUGAGCAUCAAGAUCUAUAGAGAUAGAUCAAGACGCUUGAUAAGUUUUUUCAAUGAGUACAUACCUUGACAAGAUUUUGAAGUAGUGGAACAGUCAAAGAAAGAGUUCUUACAUGUGUUACAAGGUGUGAAAUUGAGUAAGACUCAAAGCCCGACCACGACAGAAGAUAGAAAGAGAAUGAAAGUCAUUCCCUAUGCCUCAGCCAUAGGUUCUAUAAAGUAUGCCAUGUUAUGUACCAGACCUAUUGUAUACCCUGCCCUGAGUUUGGCAAUGGAGUACAAUAGUGAUCUAGGAGUAGAUCACUGGACAUUGGUCAAAAUUAUCCUUAGAGGACUAAGAAAAUAUUUCUCGGUUAUGGAGGUGAUAUAGAGUUCGUCGUAAAGAGUUACGUUGAUGCAAGCUUUGACACCGAUCUAGAUGACUUUGAGUCUCGAUCUAGAUACAUAUUGAAAGUGGGAGCAAUUAGCUAGAGUAGCUCAGUGCAGAGCAUUGUAGACAUAGGAAUUUGCAAAGUACAUACAGAUCUGAAUAUUGCAGAUCCGUCGACUAAACUUCUCUCACAAGCAAAACAUGAUCACACCUUAGUACUCUUUGGGUGUUAAUCACAUGGCGAUGUGAACUAGAUUACUGACUCUAGUAAACCCUUUGAGUGUUGGCCAUAUGGCAAUGUGAACUAUGGACAUGGUGAUGUGAACUAUUGGUGUUAAGUCACAUGGCAAUGUGAACUAGAUUAUUGACUCUAGUGCAAGUGGGAGACUGAAGGAAAUAUGCCCUAGAGGCAAUAAUAAAGUUGUUAUUUAUAUUUCCUUAUAUCAUGAUAAAUGUUUAUUAUUCAUGCUAGAAUUGUAUUAACCGGAAACUUAGUACAUGUGUGAAUACAUAGACAAACAGAGUAUCACUAGUAUGCCUCUACUUGACUAGCUCGUUGAAUCAAAGAUGGUUAAGUUUCCUAGCCAUAGACAUGAGUUGUCAUUUGAUUAAACGGGAUCACAUCAUUAGAGAAUGAUGUGAUUGACUUGACCCAUUCCGUUAGCUUAGCACUUGAUCGUUUAGUAUGUUGCUAUUACUUUCUUCAUGACUUAAACAUGUUCCUAUGACUAUGAGAUUAUGCAACUCCCGUUUACCGGAGGAACACUUUAUGUGAUACCAAAUGUCACAACGUAACUGGGUGAUUAUAAAGGUGCUCUACAGGUGUCUCCGAAGGUACUUGUUGAGUUGGCGUAUUUCGAGAUUAGGAUUUGUCACUCCGAUUGUCGGAGAGGUAUCUCUGGGCCCACUCGGUAAUACACAUCACUAUAAGCCUUGCAAGCAUUGUAACUAAUGAGUUAGUUGCGGGAUGAUAUAUUACGGAACGAGUAAAGAGACUUGCCGGCAACGAGAUUGAACUAGGUAUUGAGAUACCGACGAUCGAACCUCGGGCAAGUAACAUACCGAUGACAAAGGGAACAACGUAUGUUGUUAUGCGGUUCAACCGAUAAAGAUCUUCGUAGAAUAUGUAGGAGCCAAUAUGGGCAUCUAGGUUCCGCUAUUGGUUAUUGACCAAAGAGAUGUCUCGGUCAUGUCUACAUAGUUCUCGAACCCAUAGGGUCCGCACGCUUAACGUUCGUUGACGAUAUAGUAUUUAUGAGUUAUGUAUGUUGGUAACCGAAUGUUGUUCGGAGUUUCGGAUAAGAUCACGGACAUGACGAGGAACUCCCGAAUGGUCCGAAGAUAAAGAUUGAUAUAUGGGAUAAUAGUGUUUGGUCUCCGGAAGGGUUCCGGAAUUCAUCGGAAGGGGUUCCGGAUGUUUCCCGAAAUGUUUGGGCACGAGAACACUUUAUUUGGGCCAAAGGGAAAAGCCCACGAGGUUUUUGGAAAGUGCAAAAGGAAGUUUUAUGGAGACCAGAGGCUAGACGCCCUGGCAUCUAGGGGGUAGACGCCGGGAACCCUGGUGUCUAGCCCUGGAGUCCGAGAAGGACUCUUGCCUUUCGGGCAAAACCGACUUUGAGGAGGCUUCUACUCCAAGUUUCGACCCCAGGGCUCAACAUAUAAAUAGAGGGGUAGGGCUAGCACCCAAGACACAUCAAGAAACACCAAGCCGUGUGCCGGCAACCCCGUCCCCUCUAGUUUAUCCUCCGUCAUAGUUUUUGUAGUGCUUAGGCGAAGCCCUGCGGAGAUUGUUCUUCACCAACACCGUCACCACGCCGUCGUGCUGCCGGAACUCAUCUACUACUUCGCCCGUCUUGUUGGAUCAAGAAGGUAAGGACGUCAUCGAGCUGAACGUGUGCUGAACUCGGAGGUGCCGUGCGUUCGGUACUUGGAUCGGUCGGAUCGUGAAGACGUACGACUACAUCAACCGCGUUGAUAAAACGCUUCCGCUUACGGUCUACGAGGGUACGUAGACAACACUCUCCCCUCUCGUUGCUAUGCAUCAACCAUGAUCUUGCGUGUGCGUAGGAAUUUUUUUGAAAUUACUACGUUCCCCAACAGUAUAUUCAUAUUGGACCAGAAAAAAAAACAAAUUUUAGGACGCAGGGGAUUCUCACCAUGUGUGCUCGCUUGCCUUCAUGUGGCAGCUGCACGCGUGGGAUGGAGGCGGAGCCGCGCAAGGCCGCCACGUGCGAAGAAGAGGGGCGCUGCUGCUUCCCUUCUCCGGAUCAAGGCCGCGACUGCUGCUCCCCUCCAGAUCUCACUAAUGGCUGCCGCCGCGUGGAAGAUUCCGGUUCUGCUUGGGGUGCCAUCAUGGAAGGAGAAUGAACAUCCGACAGGGUUCUUUGGCUUACCGCUUGUUGGGCAGCCAUAGCUAUACGUGACAGAAUUAAUUUUUAUAACAGACUAUACAUAAGAACCACAAACAAUUAGAAUUUAAAAACAACUUCCAGAAAAGAUGGCAGCCAUAAACAUCUAUCAUGGAUGCACACGCAGAUCACUUACGUAUUCAUGAAACAUGUCACAAUUAUAAGCAUCUAAUCAACGUAGUAUGGUACUACUAAACCAUCUGUACCACGGAGCGCUCAGCAUCAUACAUUCCAUGUUGUUAACUUCCUCGAUACUUCAGAUUUAAAAAUGCUUUAGCAUCAUUAGGGUGUCUUCAUUUAACAUUUUUUUAGGACUAAAUGUAUUUCUGUGCAGACCUAGUUUACAAAAUCAGAAUACAAAUUUAGCAUAACAACAAAAGAAAGCAAACAAGUAUCAGUUCUUGAUAGGAAAAAAAUGGCAGCAUCGAAGAUCCAAAAGCAAGUGAGUACCAACCAUUAGCAAAGGCAGCAGCAGUUUUAUAUAUGUUCUCAUAAUUAAUCAUCACUAAGAAGCAAUACAAUAGGAUAUCAUGAGUGCAUCAAUCAUAUGUGCGUAGUUGUUCUUAUAAGUGAAUUUUGUGAUUGAAUAUUGAAUGGAAUCCAAAAGUUAUGAAUCUAGUAAUGGAAUUAUCUUCCAAUAGCUCUAGUGCACAUUCUAAAUAACCAAAUUCUUCGUCCAUAUCGCAACCAUCUACGAAGAAACACACUUCUCAGUUUUUACUGAUGAGCAAUCCGGCUAAAGCUCCUACAAAUUAAAAUAAAAUAUUCAGAAGGGGAAAAGAACAUCAAUAACUUUCAGAUGUUGGCAUAGGCAUAGCUGGACCAACUAAGAUGCAAGAUUUGCCGAUAUAAAUCCAUUCAUAAAAUAAUAAUGUUGCUCUGCAAUCUUUUCAGUUGUUGUGGUGUAAUCUUCAGGAGCAAGGUCGCUAGCUGAGUUCAUUUCAGCAAGAAAAAUUAACCCUCUUCCUUUUGGUAAACCAUUCAAUACCACAACACAAAAGUACUAACACUAUUUUGACACAUGAACGUUUUUUAAGCCAAUCAAGUAAAUUAAUCUCCAGUUGUACUAACUGGCACCAAUAUAUUAACUACCACCAUUUUUUCCUGCCCAAGAUACCUCGAACAUUUAACACAAGCAUCAAAUUCGCACCCAGAUAACCCAAAAAGAAACGGUCACCCUAAUUAACCUAAUAAACCAAAUCAAACAGGUUUACCCGUAAGAAUCAGAGCAAAAAUGGAGGUAAGGAAGAACAAGGAGAUGCAUGGCAGGAGGCACGUACCUGGCAGAGAGGCAAUGGAUGAAGAUGCGGGCGCUCUCGGCGAAGGCGGCCAUGGUGUCCUUGUCCUUGACCAGCCGCCGCACGAUGGCCUUGGGGAGCUCCUCCACCUCCGCCUCCGUCAUCGGAGCAGCCAGCGCAGGCUUGGCCCUUGACCCCUCCCCAUCGUGGUCGGCUGUAACUCCUUUGUCUUCCACACCAUAGAUCCCUGCGCUGCCUUUGGUGUUGGCUGUUGAGGCGAGGCACGACGUCGUCGAGAAAGAAGAGAGGAAGAGGACGAAGGGGUGGAGGCGCCGGACUUCCCACAGCCUGCUACCCCCGCUCCAACUGCUCCGACCACAUCACGUGGUCUAGAUCCGGAGGCAGGGAAGGAGGAGAGGAAGGGGAGGAGAAGGUGCUGAAGGCGGAGGGGGCGAGGCAGCCGUGAGGGACGGGGAAGAGGAGGAGGCUGCGGUGGCAUGGGGAAGAGGAGCCGGAUGAGAAGGGAGAGGGAGAAAGAGGAGAUAUUUUCUUAGAAGAGAGAGGGGUCAACCAAUCAGGCUCGCUGUGGUCCAUCCCAAUUCUUUUACUUUUCUCUCGCUACCCCCGCUCGCUCGCUCAUUGGCUGUCCGGUCGCUCACUAUUCAUAGCUGACGUGGAGCCAUCGGUUGCACCGAGCACCCCAGCAUCCUUUAUAAGGUAAAUGGCUACCAUUACAAUAAGGGAUACUACCUAGCUGAUGGUAUCUAUCCUCAAUGGUCAACUCUUUUGAAGACAAUACCCAAUCCGCAAGGAGAAAAGACACAGAGAUUUGCCCAAAUGCAAGAGAGUGCUAGGAAGGAUGUAGAGCGUGCUUUUGGUGUGCUUCAAUCUCGAUGGGUAUCGUUCGAAAUCCUGCAGUGACAUGGAGCACCGAGAAGCUUUGGGAGGUGACGAUUGCUUGUGUGAUCAUGCACAACAUCAUUGUGGUGGAUGAGCGUGAUGACAACAUCGACGACCGAGGGUUUGAUUUUCAGGGUGAAAAUGUUGAGCCUCAGCACCAAGAACUGGCAAAGUUUGAACUGCUCACCCAAUUCCAUCGUGAAAUGCGUGAUUGGCAUAUACUCAUAUGCAGCUCCAAGAUGACUUGGUUGAGCACAUGUGAAAUCACAUUGACCAGUAUGUAUUGGUUCAUUUUCUUUCCAUCUAUUGAAGACAGUUUCGUUUGGGUUGUAAAAUUAUUUGAUUAUGUUUUUUCUCGGAUAUGAAACUAUUUGUUUAUAAAACUAUUUGCAAUGCUUUAUUUAUUUGAUUGUAAAAAAUAUUUACAAUGUGUAUAGUGCAUACAUAGGGGCUCCAGCGGCCGUGGCGGACCAGAUGCGUCCGCGCGUUGGGCACACGGCCAGCGCAUCCAGAAAAAAACGGCCGGACGUCGCCCCAUUUCCCUAUCCAAGCGGAUAAAAUUCGGACAAAAUAGACGUCUGUUUGGGGUCGUACGUUGGAGUUGGCUUUAAUCCCCACACUGUAGUAUACUAGCUCCAUGCUAAAUUUUAUACUCCUACAAUUUAGCCGGACGUCAGUCUUAGGAAAGAAAGCCUAGUGGUUGGUCUGGUUGUCAUGCUUGGGUUGGGCCUCGGUUCAAUCUUGCCGAUUCUACCUAGACAUGGCUCAAAAUGAAGAAUUUAAAAUUUGAGCCAGUUAAUGCUUUUGGGAAUGAAGCGGCAACCGUGCGGAGCACCAAGGCCGCCGAUAGCAGCACCGGGGCGAAUGAAGCGAGGCCCGGUGAUGCGGUCAAGGCCACGGCCAGGAACGAGCCGUAGUCGGUGGCAACCGACGGUGGCAAGCAUGGAACUUGAUAGUUUGGGGUGGAAGGGGGUGCAGGCCUCGGUGAAAUCUGGUGCUUCGCCGGUUUAGAGGGAUGGCUGUGGGCAGCGCCAGCACGGCCGUGGCCGACGGUGAGGCUGACGCAGGGGCGCCGGUUACGGAUGGCGGAGGCCAGCGGUUGGGUUGGUGGUACUUUGGGCGGUUUGGAGAAGAGGGGAAAGAUACGAGGUUGAAGAAGGACAUCUUCAUUGGUUUUGCAUGACAUUUGUUGAUGUCUUCACUCCGGCCAUGAGAUUUUUUUUAUUUUGGACAGGUGACAAACCUCCGUGCAACUGUAUAGAUGUCCAUGCAGUGCAGUCACUGCCGUGUGGAUCCGGCCCCAUACGUCAUCCUCACUACAGCACUGUACGGUACUGCAGAGGAUCUCAACCCCCAAAUGUUAUACUCCCUCCGCUUUUAUUUAGUUCGCGUAUUAGCUUUGGUCAAAGUCAAGCUUUGUAAACUUUGACAAAAUUUCUAAACAAAAGUAUUAACAUAUAUAAUAACAAAUCAAUACCAUUAUAUUUAUUAUUAAAUGUACUUUCACAUUAUAUAGAUUUGAUAUGGUAAAUGUUUACAUUGUUUUUUAUAAACUUAGUCAAACUUUACGUAGUUUGACUUCAGUCAAAUCUAAUACGCGAACUAAAUAAAAAUGGAGGGAGUACCUGUAUUGAUUGAUCGGCUGUAACUCGAUUGCAGCGAAAUGGGAGGGAAGGGCCAUGGGGUCUCUGUCCCCCGGACUGCAGACCAAAGCAACCAUGAGAGGUACUCUACCUCUACGGUGCAAAUAUAUGGGCUUGACCACAAAAAAGCUGGAGCAUAUACAACGUAAUGCGACACAGAGGAAGAUUGGUACCCUGCCGAUUAAUUCUAUCGUGUUGCAGCUCUACAACGGCAUGAACGCGGGCAGUUGACGCCGGACAGUAACACGCAUGGGCGAGGGAGAAGGGUUUUGCAUGGGUCAAGAUGGUCAGAUGCGGACGUGACUGCUGUUCGGAUGUCCGCAAAGCCUCCAUGUUUGUUUUUGUUUUACGGGAAAAAGUGCGUUCAGACAGUCUUGCAGACUGAUGCAGGCCCGUAUUGAAUGACACAACACGUCUGAACGCGCGGUCCAGACGGUUUGAAAGUAGGCGUGUUGGAGAUGCCCUGAGCUACAUAAAGCCAACCGUAUAAAUAGCAACACAAGCAAUUGACCUAUCAAAAUUAAUCAAUCCAAUUGCAGUAUAUUGCCUGCGAACAGGUCAAGUGCCCUAAAUAAUUUGUGCCACCCAUGGGCGCCUUCUUUGCAGAGGUGGAGGAGUGGGCAGCGGAGAGUAGAUAGUCUUUCAGACUAGGUGGAGGGUGGAAGUAGAGUUAGUGUGCAGUGUAUAUAUGUAAUCUGUAAUGCUAACGUGGACGGGCUCUUUACCCCGAUUCCUUCUAUAUAAUAUAGUACGCACACUCGUGCGUAUUCGAGAAAAAAAAAGAACCAUUGCUAAAAAAUAGGAGUGCAUGCAUGGGACCUAAAGUAGAGAUUCAUCCAUUUCUUAGCUGGGUUUCCUUUCUCCUACCCAAGCUACAAACCUCCUGUCAUACUAGCUUCCAGAUCCAGCGACAUUUCCUUAUCACAAGCGGGUAGAUCGAGCUGCUGUAACUUGUUCUAGUCCAUGUGGAUGUGUAUGUGGAUAGGAAAGAAGGCGGCAGGCUCCAAUGCCCCCCGGACUGCAAACCAAAGCAACCAGAGUAUAGAACGCACGAGCUAUAAUAUAGCACCAUGACCACACAAAAAGAGGUGAUGGUUAGCUAGAUUGGUACCCUGCCGGUUUAUCGCGUUGCCGCUGUCGUGUUAAAGUUCAUUGGGGCUUCUCUAUCCUACUACCCCUAUUAUAUGGACAUUCUUUUAUAAAGGGUCCGUCUAUUGCUUUCGUGAAAAAUAUACCGCAUCCUUUCAAUCUGAGAAGGGGAUGAUUAAAGAAUGAGACGACACGAGAUGAUGAAGUAUGCAGUGUGACUUUGGGAGGCAGGUGCCUAGCGUAGGAGGCAGGCAUGAAAGCCAUGGAGCACUCGACGGUACGCUCUGCAUCCGAGACGCCGACAGUCCAGGCUCGCCGGUGGCCCGAUGUGCGUCAUCCGCACUUUCAGAAGUUGCAACGUAACACGGUUUUGAGGCAAUCGAAGCUCCACUGUCAGGGUUUUAGGUGUGGCCGGUUGACCGUGUUGCCGCUGUCGUGUUAAAGUUCAUGGCGCUUCUCUGUCCUACUACUACUCUUAUAUGGACAUUCUCUAUAAAGGGUCCGUCUGUUGCUCUCAUGAAAAAUAUACUGCAUCCGUUCUCUCCGAGAAGGGGGGAUUAAAGAAUGGGACGGCACGAGACGAUGAAGUAUGCGGCGUGACUUUGGGAGGUAGGUGCCUAGCGUAGGAGGCAUGCAUGAAAGCCAUGGAGCACCCGACGCUACGCUUUGCACCCGAGACGUCGACAGUCCGGGCACGCCGGUGACCCGACGUGCGUCAUCCGUACCUUCGGAAGGUUGCAAGUAACGCGGUUUUGAGGCAGUAGAAGCUCCACCGCUAGGGUUUUAAGUGCGGCCGGUUGACCGCGUUGCCAUUGUCGUAUUACAGUUCAUGGCGCUUCUCUGUCCUACUACUCCUAUUAUAUGAGCAUUCUGUAUAAAGGCCCCGUCUGUUGCUUUCGAGAAAAAUAUACUGUAUCCUUACUCUCCGAGAAGGGGAAGAUUAAAGAAUGGGACGACACGAGACGAUGAAGCAUGCAACGUGACUUUGGGAGGCAGGUGCCUAGCGUAGGAGGUAGGUGUGAAAGCCAUGGAGCACCCGACGCUACGCUUUCGAUCCGAGACGUCGACAGUCCAGGCUCGCCGGUGGCCCGACGUGCGUCAUCCGUGCCUUCGGAAGGUUGCAACGUAACACGGUUUUGAGGGAGUAGAAGCUCCACCGUUAGAGUUUUAAGUGCGGCCGGUUUAUAGCGUUGCCGAUGUCGUAUUACAGUUCAUGGCGCUUCUCUGUCCUACUACUCUUAUUAUAUGGACAUUCUCCAUAAAGGGCCCAUCUGUUACUUUCGAGAAAAACAUACUGCGUCCUUUCUCUCCGAGAAGGAGAGGGUUAAAGAAUGGGACGGCACGAGAUGAUGAAGUAUGCAGCGUGACUUUGGGAAGCAAGUGCCUAGCGUAGGAGGCAGGCGUGAAAGCCAUGAAGCACCCAACGCUACGCUUUGCAUCCGAGACGUCGACGGUCUCACUACUGGAAUCAGCUAAUUUGCCAUUUGCCAGCUCUUUGCCGUCUGCUAGCUGACGGCAAAGAAGCUCUUUGCCAUCAGCUACCAAAAAGCGGACGGCAAAGAAAUGGCAAACGACAAAGAAGCUCUUUGCCAUCUGCCAGCUCUUUGCCGUCCGCUGGCAGACGGCAAAGAGGGAGGUGGCCCCCACCCCCCGCCCGUUUGAAAAAAACUUAACGCCCCACCUCUUUGCCGUCCGCCAGCGGACGGCAAAGAGGCAAAAAGGCGGACGGCAAAGAGCCGAUUACCUAACCUUCUUUGCCGGAGCCUUUUGCCGUCCGCGGCUGACGGCAAAGGUCUUUGCCGUCCGCCGUUCGAGCCUUUGCCGUCCGCCGUGGCAGACGGCAAAAUAGCUGUUUCCUGUAGUGUCUGGGCUCGCCGGUGGCCCGAUGUGCGUCAUUCGUACCUUCCGAACGUGACGUGGUUUUGAGGCAGUGCAAGCUCCGCCGUCAGGGUCUCAGGGAGAUCAUACUCCUAGCAGAGCUCAGGGGAAAGUAUCAGGUGAUACCAGCCCUAGGAUGCUACCAUGAUACCAACUCUGAAAAUUCAAAUUUAAACAUGUCAAAAAAUUCUAAAAAAAUCAUGGAUGCUUAAAACACAUAUGUAGACAACCCCUAAACAAUUUAGAUUAAAAUUCGACAGACACACGAAGAAACAAAAAUGACAAAUUUAGAUGUGAAUAGUGUCAUUUUUGCUUUUGUCUUCUUUUGGCACUAUUCAUGAUGGAUUUGUCUUUUUUGUUUCUUCUUCUUCUGUGUUUUAAAUUUUGAUCUGAAUUUUUUAGGGGUUGUCUACAUAUGUGUUUUAAGCAUCCAUGAUUUUUUUCAGAAUUCUUUGACAUGUUUAAAUUUGAAUUUUCGGAGUUGGUAUCAUGGUAGCAUUCUAGGGCUGGUAUCACCUGAUACUUUCCCGUCAGCUCAGCUGUGAACGUCAGCAUGUCAGGUAGACGAAGCUGUGAAAUCGGUGAUGUUGAUCCAUUCCUAGGCCAGCUGCUUCUCACCUGCAAUAAAUAGUGAUGGGGUUGACACGUCGGGCAUCCCGUCCGGCCGGCCGCAGGUUGGAUGCCUAGGCUAGUACUCCCUCCGCUUCCAAAUUACUCGUCAUGGUUUUAGUUCAGACGAGUAAUUUGGAACGGAGGGAGUAAAUUAGUAUGGUCACGCCGGAGAACGAUGACCCCCGGCGUCGCAUCACCUCGGCGCUGUCCUUGCCCACGGCGCGGCGCGUCAGGUCACGUCGGUGUUUUGCGUUUCAUCGGACCUAGACGGCGAAAGCAAAUUUACCGUACCGGUAGGCCGGUGCCGCUUGGAUUUGCCCCGGCUGCAGCGGCGGUCGUCCUUGUGGAUCAGCCACGGAUUGAUUGCACCGAGGCUGAUGAGGUCCUCACGGGCGAACGCCGCACCCCAGGACUGGACCACGCCGCCGUCUAGAAUGUGCAUGCAUGCAUAUGCAUGUGUCUGCUCCCCGAGGCGAGGCCCAUUGUCGAAUCGCUCGGAGCGCCCCGGCCGCUUAUCAGGUUAGGUUAUCUUCAGCACAGGCUCGGGAGAGAGCUCUCAUGGCUUAUCUAUCGGUCAAGGGCGAAUGGAAACAUGUGCGAUUCGACGAUGCAAUCGACACGACAGAUUAUAUAUCCACCGGGCCAGGAAAGGAUUUAACCAUGCGUCACAUGACAUCAGCAAGCCACCGGAUACCAGUUCCAUGGGUUCAUGAGAUCGACGGGCUCCUAGCUUGUACACGCCGACGCUUUAGACAGGAGGGCGGAGCCGCGGAGGCGCCGACGGAGCCUCGGCCACGUGCCGGGCCAGCGGCGCGGCGAUUGCGGCACCCGGCACUGGCGUUGGCGCGAGAGCCGCGCGCGCGUGAAACAGACGACGAUUGUUCAUUUGUUCGCCGUGCCAAGCUGCCAAACGGCGACGUGGCAUAGACACCUGGAUCUUCGCCUUCUCCUGCCCCGGCACCUUUGCAUGCCUCGGUGUCGAUCAUCUCUGGCAUCACACUUUCUUCUCUUCAGCAGUGCAUGCGUUACAUAUGUUCCAGAUGACGCCAUGCCUAAAGCGUAGUACUCCAUCCGUUUCAAAAUAGAUGACCCAACUUUAUACUAACUUUAGCAAAGUUAGUAUAAAGUUGGGUCAUCUAUUUUGAAACGGAGAGAGUACUACGCUAGGAACCAGUGUACUCCACGGCUCCUCAUCCUGUGUUCCGGUUGCGCGAUAAGCCUGUCUCAGCUACUACAGUGUAGUACUAGAGUCUGUACAGAGAGUACUGGGGUUUUCGCCAAACCUUCUUGUCCACCGAAUAGUUAAACUAGUUUAUUAGACACCGGGAAACCGAUUAAAUACUAACCACGUGANNNNNNNNNNNNNNNNNNNNNNNNNNNNNNNNNNNNNNNNNNNNNNNNNNNNNNNNNNNNNNNNNNNNNNNNNNNNNNNNNNNNNNNNNNNNNNNNNNNNNNNNNNNNNNNNNNNNNNNNNNNNNNNNNNNNNNNNNNNNNNNNNNNNNNNNNNNNNNNNNNNNNNNNNNNNNNNNNNNNNNNNNNNNNNNNNNNNNNNNNNNNNNNNNNNNNNNNNNNNNNNNNNNNNNNNNNNNNNNNNNNNNNNNNNNNNNNNNNNNNNNNNNNNNNNNNNNNNNNNNNNNNNNNNNNNNNNNNNNNNNNNNNNNNNNNNNNNNNNNNNNNNNNNNNNNNNNNNNNNNNNNNNNNNNNNCAACGGAGCACAGGCACCAAUAUCUUCUUAGUUAUAAACAACGAUCAUCACACCUGGAACCGGUUACUUCAGAAGCUACAUAAAACCAAACCGCAUGAAUAAUAACACGGGCAAUUGUCAAAUCGAUGGCAGAUUGCAAUCCUGCCUUUGUACUCCUAAUCUGUGCCCCCAAUGAUUUGUACGCCCACCCGAACUGUUCCUUUGGAUGUUACGGCGACACAUCGCAAUACAAAAUUAAAGAGGUCCUUGCUUCUCGAAAAGUACAUGCAUACAUACAUGCAUAUUGGACCGAGCAAUGCUAGACUUAUGUAUGAUUUACUACUGUUUUUACGUAAAGUCAACAUGGAGGAUUGUGAUUGGAAUCAGGGCAGGAACGGGCCCACCCCACUGAAAUUUGAAUUAGUUGAAAAGUUACGUUAAAUGUACAUAAUUUUUUGGGUGUGGUUAGGUCUUAGUCGAGUCAAGUGACAUAACAUGCAAGAGAGAAAAUGAAAAAACUGAAAAUUAAUUUUGCAUGGAUCUUAAUGUAAGAUCUCACGGAUAUAGCAUCAAAUGGGACUUAAUGAAGUCUCAGUCGACAUAGACAUAGCAAGAUUGUAAAUUUACGUAGGUGUAGGAUUUUCUUAUUGGACCCACAAACACAUCAGGGCAUCUUCAACGCAGAUCCUUCCGGCCCCAAAUGUCCAUGCGGUAUCUUUUCUUUUAUCUUGGCCAAGUGACAAACCUCCAUGCAGUUGCAUAGAUGACCAAAUAGCAUACCUGUACUGAUCGAUCGUCUGUAACUCGAUUGCAGCGAGAUGGAAGGGAAGGGCCAUGGCGGUCCCUGUCCCCCGGACUGCAAACCAAAGCAACCAUGAGAGCUACCGUUGCUUUCGAGAAACGCAUCGUCGGGAACUCGGGAUGGCUCCCCGCAUCCAUGGCAGCAGGCCGUCGGGGGUGAAGCAUGCAACGUGACUUUGGGAGACAGGCGCCUAGCGUAGGAGGCAGGCGUGCUGAAAGCCAUGGAGCACCCGACGCUACGCCUGCAUCCAAGACAGUGACACACUGACACUGCAGUGCAGGCUCGCCGCUCAGCGAUGGUCUGACGUACGUAACCCGUACCACAGGAAGGUUCCAACCCAGCGCAAGCAUGAAGUGACAGAAAAAGAGAGAAAAAUAGCACAUGGUGGUACAAGUGCAGAAGCUCUACGGCUCCACCGUCGAGGAGAUCAAGCGGUACCUACUCCCUCCGUUUCAAAAUAGAUGAUCCAACUUUACGUUACGUCCGUGUAAUCAGCAAACUCAGGAUGCUCCUACAGAAAAGCCUUGCGAUAUAGCUGUGCGUCAACGUCAGCGUGUCAGAUGGUAGAUGAAGCUGCGGAAUGUGUGAUGAUGAUGAUGAUCCAUUCAUAGGCCAGCGUCUCACUGCAAUAAAUAUGGGUCCAGAUGCGGGCCAUUAUUCUUUGGCUCUCGGCUAGGGUAAACUGAUUCCCGUUUUACCGACGAGUCCGUGGACCUACCUCCCUUUUGUCUGCCGUUUCGAUGGUCGGUGAUGGGGAAGGGAUCCGAUGCCUUGGCUUCUGUUAGAGGUUAAUAUUAUUUUCUCGCAGGGAUGACACUUCAUCUUCGAAUUGAUCAUCCCGCCUUCGAUGCACCUUGAUCGCCUUGUCGAGACGGGGUUGGUACAGCUUCGACGUAGACUACCGCCGUCUCCUUCGAACGACAAGUACAAUAUUUCUCAUUGUUCAUGUGCGGCGACAAGAUUUGGUGUCUGACGCAACAAACUAAUUAAGGGUUCAGUGGCAACAAGUACGACUCCACGACAUUGUUCCUUAGGGCCACGUGCAUAAAAACUUUCCAGCUAUCAUCAUCAAUGACAGGUCUGCUUCAAUUGGGGAGCGGAGCGGCAUGUUAAGGGCAUCUCCAAUGCCAAUACUCAAACCGCCCGCAUACCCCCCUCCCCCGGCCCACCCAAAAGGAAGGCGAAGCCCGCACUUUUAUAGCAACCUGCACUGUUUCUGUGCCAAAUCCCCCACUCUCUUCUUCCAUACCCCGACGCUCUCCACCCAAUUCCUGCCCUUUUCUCCGACCCUUUCCUUCCUUCCAUCGCCGAUGCAUGAAACCGGAGGAGAACGUGCCUGAGAUGGAGGUGAUGGAGGUGCCGGAGGAUCCGAGCAUCACGCUCGCCCGGAUGAUCAGCUCGGCUACGAGGCAAACUCGUUGUGUCAAAGCGAAGGCCGCAAAGGAGAAGAAGCACAAGAAACGGAUGGCCGCCGGUGGGCUUGGUGGGGGUGUUUGGCGAGGUAGUCGUGGUGGACGUCACGGCGGAGGCCGCGAUGCCCAGACGGACGCGCCCACGGUACAGACGGCUCCGUAGCCGGAGCAUUCCAAGCCUUCAAACGGGCGUGCCCACAAUAUGUGCUUUUGGAUUUGGGCAUAUAAAAACUAAGCAUACUUGUCUCAUUUUGGUUAUGACCUGGCAAGCGAUCCGGUGCUGUGUGAUCCGGCGCGCUGUAUGGAUUAGACUACUAAAUUUGAAUUUUAAAUUGCCCUUUACUGAUGCAGAUAUACAGGAUAGCAUUGGAGGCCGACACUCGCAUUCGUGUCCGGAGACUGGGACCCCAUAUCCGUGGCCAGAUGCAGGAGAAAAUUUGCGGUUCGGUGUUGAAGAUGCCCUAAAGAAUAAAGACUCCCGAGUGGAUGUAGCAACCGUUUGUAUGGUCCAAAGAUCUUGUUGUCAUUUCUACUAUAUUUAAGAUACUUUUGAAAAGUAAACAAAGACAUGGAUUCGAUCGAUCACAUUCACAUAAAUACUCCAUCCGUCUCAAAUUACUUGGCGUGAAAAUGGAUGUAAUUGACAAGUAAUUCGGGAUGCAGGGAGUACUCCCUCCGUUCCACAAUGUAGUAAAUGUAGGUUUUUAAAAAAAUCAAACUUUAUAAACUUUAACCAAGUUUGUAGAGAAAACAUAUACAUUUAGAAUACGAAACACAUAUCCUUAGAUGCAUAAAGAGACGUACUUUCAUAUUUGUAUAUAUUUAAUAUUAUAGAUAUAAAUACUUUUCUUUAUAAAUUUGGUCAAAAUCUGUAAUGUUUGAUCUUUUAGAAAUCUAUAUGCACUAAAUUAUGACAUGGAGUAAGAUUUUGCUGGGCACAACACAUCCGGGUCCUAGCAUUCCACAUGGUUCCCUUUGCUCCAUGUCUUGACACGUCCCCGCAUGAUGUGAUCCUGCCGCUGCCCGCAGGUUGGAUGUGUCGGCCGUAUAGGUGGUGUUGUCGCCGUCACGAGGUGGCCGCCGCCGGAAAAGGGUGACCCCGCCGCGUCACCACCUCGACGCUGUCCUUGCGCGUACGCGCUCGCCGUUCCGGCCCCCGGCCACGCGUCACGUCGCGUCUCAGUGUUAGUACCUUUCAUCGGCGCACGACGACGUCGACGGCUUAGCUAAAAUUACCGUCCCGAAAUGGCCGUUUGUUCUGCGGUGAAAGAAGACAGAGCAUUGCUGGUACCAACUUAUCCAGUGAAACCAAACUGCUCGCUGCUUCUGACAAAGAACCUGCAGAUUCCAUGGAUUCUGGAGGGUGCCAAGACGCUGGACAGAUCGCUUCGUUGCAGGGGUAUUUCCAGAUCCCAAUCAACACUGCAGAACACGCAUCGAGUGUCGUGUCCAGCGAUGGACAGCAAUAUACAAUGAGCCGCACAGAAACCCGGCCCUCAGGUGGCCGGUCAAGCAAGACUCGCGUAGCCCAUGGCUUCCCACGUUCUGAUCUGCAGCGGCGGCGGUCGUCCGGUGAGAUCAGGUCACGGGCGCCCGUCUGCAGACCAGACCAGGCCUGGACCGGACCACCGUCUAGAACAAACGACACGCACGCUUCCAUGCGCUUGACUGCUCCUCUGUCUCUUCUUCUCCACUAGCCACCCCUCAAGGCGAGGCACAUUGUCAAAUUCUUCUGAACACCCUGACCUGACCGCCGCCUCAGCGACAACGGAGACUUGAGAGCGUUUUUGACGCUAUCAGACAACUUCGUCAAGAGCAGCAAGAGAAAUGCACGAAAACACCGGCGCAAACAGGAAUUACUACGAAAAGACAGUACGCAAUUUGAUGUUGCAUUGCAGUCCAGGUUCGGUUCUCCACUGGGGCAGGAGAGGAAACCACCAUGUUCCAUGUGUCACAUGGCAUCCUCAGUCACCGGCCACUACUGGGGCAUCACCACCCACAACAACAACUUCCGGCUACCCAGUUCGAUCUGUAUACACGGACGGGCGGUUUAAACAUGGCGGACAUGUGCCAAAUAUAUGUGGCACAUCACUAGCAGCUAGUAUAAUAGAGUAAGCUAAUGGCCGCCCGGCUAU
rnacentral:lncRNA from 1 species